UGUAGUGGGCUUCUCUAUUUAUAGAUGAUGAAGAGACAUUCCCCAAAGUAUGUGACUUAAUUUGAAGAGGCAAGUAAUGCAUCUCUUCACUUAAAAGAUGUAUUGUUUCAAACUUGGAUAGUCACACCUUUUUUAUUUUAAUUUCUAUUUUAUAACAGAAAGCAGGAUGGUCAACCAAAUCAUAACUCAUCCUUUAUAAUUUGGGCUCGGGUUUUAGUUUGGGUUUCAUCGAAAAAAAAUGUUAAUCCAAUCAAAUUCAUCAUGAAUUCGGGUUAAUUUGGACUAGGUCUAGGCUGCCCAAUUUUAUGGGGUUGAUUCUAACUCCAUAUUGACAUAUUUUACAAUAUUUACCAUAACUUGUUUUGUAAAUAUUUUUGUUUUAAAAAAUUGAUAAUAAUCUACUACAAUGACAAAUGAAAUUAUGUAUACAAAACUUAAGGGCUUGUUCAGUUAAGUUUUAAGGAGUUGUUUUCAUUUUCAUAGAAAAAAACACAGCAAGAACCUGUUCGGUGAGCCAAAAGCAGAAAACACUGAGAAUGUUUUCAUAAAAUGAAAACAAGUUCACGUGUACUUGUAGAAAACAGACAAAAGAUGUUUUCAUUCUCAUGAGAAACGCUCAAAACAAGGGAGGUUGAAAAAGAAUAGUUGCCGUUGCUCACUAUCGUCAAUCUCUCGCUCAAUCUUCUCUCCCCAUCUAACCAAAAAAUAAAAAUCUUCUCUCCCCCUUUCUCGACCCAACAACCAUUACAGGCCAAUCAAACCAGAAUCACCACAACAGACUAGCCACCUGCUAAUCGCACCACCACCCAGUCGAACCCAAUCAACCCUACCAUCAAUACUACCACCCACUCAGGAAAUUGCCAGAGAGAGAGAGAGAGAGAGAGAGAGAGAGAGAGAGAGAGAGAGAAAUAUCAGGCCUUGGAUGGGAAGGAAGAAGAAAAGAGAACGGAGAGAAGAGGAAGAAAGAAAGGAAGAUGAAAAAAAAGAAAAAGAAAGGACAAUGCACAUAAUGCCCUUCUUUUUUAGAACCUCAAGAUAAAUGUGAUGUUUUGUACAUGCUUUGGUUGUUAAAUUUAUUUAAUUUUAAUUUUCAUGUACAUCAGUCAUUUUGUAUUCCAAUAUAGAUAGGAAAAGUGGAGCGUCAUGGGCUUACAAAUAGAGUUUGUGGUGGUUUGGUUCAGCGUGUUAAUACAACAAAUGAUGAUAAUAAGGUAAACUUUUUUUUACUUUUCAGCCAGUACAACAUUAAAAAUUAUGUUUCUAUAAUUUAUUUAAAUCUUUAUUUAAGAGUAUGUAACCUUCCUAUUGCAUAUGAUUGUACAUGAAAAUAGUGUAUUUGACAAAAUCUCAUACCAGGAUGCAGAGUGUAAUAGGCAUGUUUCAGUUGUCUCUUCGGGUUGGAGUUAUUCAAUUAUAAUGAACAACAGUGAUCUUGGUCUUCUAAUUUUGAAAGAAUGGAAAAAAGAGAAAACAGAGCAGUGAGUAUUGUUUUAUUGGAGAAAUAUUUACUUUACCUACCUAUAAGUUAAUGAUGACAAGUGACAAAUAUAGGUGGCCUAAAAAUCGUGCACUUGAGCAGCUCAGACAUGCAAAUGUUCGUCAUAUCAUUUGGACCUACAUAACAGUUUGUUGGAUUAGGUAUUGUUUUUAUUUAAAAUUAGAAAGAAAAAAAAUCAUAACCUUUAUGAUGAUACUCUAAUUUUGAAACAACAUUUUUCUUUUUGUAUAGGAGAAAACUUAAUCAAAGACAUAAAGACUUUCUACGCCAGGUACUUUAUAUCACUUUAGCAUCUCAAGUGAAUGAGUUUACACUUUAAUUUAUUUUUGUACUCAUUUUUGUACUAGUUUUACAAACACCGUACCCGUUGCUAUGUGGAGAAAUUAGAGCACAAAAUUAAGGUAGCAAAUCAUGAAACUGUUCCGUUAAUCCUCUACCAAUUUCUUAUUCAUUGUUUUAUUGUUAAACUUGGCUUCUUAUAUAGAAACGAAAGGAUUUUCCCUUUGUCUCUUGACUUUUGAAAUUGGCGCUAUUUUUGGUACAUUUUUCUUCCAAUAAUUGGAGUAGGCAUGUAGCGAAGAAUAAACUAUCAAAGUGAAGGUGAGUAUACGUGUUCCCAAAUUAUUUCAAUUAAAAAUUUAAAGGGGAGUGUUUAAACUUGGUCUCAUCUCAUGUUAUUUAUGUAUAGAUUGACAAUGAAAAAGUGAAAGAUCAUUUAGAGAAGAACGGGUGGCACAAGUGGUCUUGAUCAUUGCAUAUCUUCUUCCUAUGUGCAUGUUAUGUAAAUAUUUAUGUCCAGAAUCUAAUCACGCGAUGUUCUGUAGAAUGAUAAUAUUAUGUUACUUCAAUUAUUUGAGAUUUUCCUAUUAAUAUUGGAUUUGCUUUGGAUAAUAUUAACGUGUUGGUCAUUAAUUGAAUAAGAAUCCCCCUAGCUCUUAAAGUUCAUUAGAGUAGUCUCCCUGCAGACGCUUCAGCGCUUGUGAGAGGCUUUUUUUUAAUCACGCGCUACGCGCGACUUACAAGGUUACGCAAAUAUUUUUUGGCAAUUGUAUUUAUAUAGAUGUCCGUUUAAACAAUUUCAUAUUUUAAUCGAGCGCAUGUGAUAAAUCGUCGUCUUAGAAGUUUUCCUUUGUCGCCCGUAUUUUUCUAGAAGUCCAUUUUAGCAGUUUCUUUUUUCUUUUAUAGCGUGUAAACUGUUAAGAUGACGUCUAGAAAAAUACGGGCGAUGAAGGAAAAUUUUUAAUACGAUGAUUUAUCACAUGCGUGCGAUUAAAAUAUGAAACUGUUGAAACGGACAUCUAUAUAAAUGCAAUUGUGAAAAAAUAUUUACGAAACUUUGUAAGUCGAGCGUAGCGGGCGUGAUUAAAAAAAAGCCAUUCGCAAAGAGGCAACGAUUAUCAACCAUCACAGUCAAUUAUCAUAGCUCAUGUGACUGUGAUGAUGGUGGUCUUUUUAGAACAUAAAUUAGCAAAAAUACACUUGAAAAAUAACUCACAUAUUAUUAUUAUCAAAUUGUACUACCAUAUACAUUUUCAUUGUCUUUGUUUUCUGAAUCUAUUUUCUAAUUAAUAUACCAGACGCAUUUUCAAAUCCUGAAAAUGCAAAUUCGUUUUCUUGUUUUCAUUCUCUAAAAAUAUUCUAAGAAAAUAUUAUCCGAAAACGUUACCGAACAAGCCCUAAAAGUCCAAUUCAAAAACAUUGAAAACACAAAUGGACAACCACUUAAAACAACAUUGCUAGUAGCAACAGCCCAAUACACAUUCACAGAUUCUUAUUCCUUCUAUAAAGUGAAUUAAAUAUGUGUAGAAUGUGCAUAUAUCCAUAUAAAUAUAAUAUAUUAGAAAUUGGGUUGAAUUGAACUUAAGACCUUGAAUGCAGAGAUAACUACUUUUAACCACUUAAGUUACAAGUUUCUUGUGGAUUAAAAUCAGAUUGAAUUCGAGUGAGUUUUUAUUUGCCCGAGCAAAUUUUUACCUAAUUUUAAUCCGCCCAAUCGGGUUAAAAGUUGGUUGACCCGACCCAGUUCCACCCUCAGUGUCGGCAAAAGAAGGAAGGCCCGUGACAAUGCGACAUACUCAAAAGGAAAGAAGAAAAAGAAGGGCCUCUGCAAUUCCUGCAGAAGUUGGUGGUAUUUAAUUUCUUAUGAUUUUGGCUUUUACCUUAAUUUACUACAGUGCUGUGUUGUUUACCCUACACUGGACCACCCCUCCCAACACUUUGGCAUUUACCUUCAAUUUCAGAGCUAGGGAAUUCUGUACUGCUUUUUUUUUUUUUUUUUCUUGUUUAAAUUUCUGCACACACUUUUCCCAAUUCUCCUGGAAAUUGUUGCUCUAGGUAGUCUUUGUCCUUCUUUCUGGAAAUAAAGAACAAGUUUUAAAAAAUAUAUAUUAAAAACAAAAUAGCUGCAAAAGAAAAUAAGGAAAAAGGUGACUUUUUGUCCCUUUUUUUGUUUGGUUAUUGUUUGUUUUACGGGGUUUUAUAUGUUUUGUAAAUUCUUCUCCCUCAUUGAGAACAUGGUUGUUUCUUAUACUUGAAAAAAAAAACAGAAAAUAGAGGAAAGAACAUGUAAUUAUAAUAAGUUUUGCCUCAAUAUGCUAACUUUCUUUCAAAACAUCACACGUUGUUAGUCACUUAUUGGUAGUGCAUUACAGAAAGGAAAGAAGUAACCAUAGUUUGAUGGUCAGUCCUGGUUGGAUCAAACUAUCUCUUUACCAUUUAAUUAAUAAUCAAUUAUUAUUAAAUGAGUUUAUAAUUUUUCCUUUGCCAAGUGAUAGAAUCAUGAAUUAAUCCACAAGAAGAAAACUUGCAUAAAAUGGGAUAGCACUGUUUUGCUAUCUUUAAUCAAUCACAAAUUAACAUAUGAAAAAGUUAUUAUGCGUGGUUGUUCACCCGUUUUCGUGUUUAACUCCUGAUGUGGAAGGGCGAAGUUCCCCACUGGCUUGGAGACCACUUGUUGGUCGGCAAGUCAGCUUUCUUUGGUGUGCGAGCGUGCCACUGCUAGCAAUGUAAAUUCUAGCAGACUUAUUUUUAGAGUGGAUAACUUGCGCCUCAAGUUACUGACUUCUAAAACAAACGAUUGUGAAUUUGGGUGAGGAAUAUCUCCCAAGUAAGUUCUUUUCUUGCCUCAGACUGGUGAGGACUUUCACAAUUUAUCUCAGUAUCAAAAAUGGUUGUUCUGGCCAGAAUAGAUAAAUAAAGUACUGUUUCAGGCAGAACUGCCUUUUACAAAAUUAAGAAGGGAGAAAUCAACUCUAGAAAGGCAAAAGGAUGGCUGGAAUCCCAUUUCUGCCUGGGUAGAAACUUCUGAUCCGGGCUGGACUGGGUAUGUCUAUGCUGGACUGUACUGUCAACAACUUUAGCUGCUUGGCUUCAGCUGUAAAUCGAUACCAAAGUUCGAUUUUGGCAGAGCUUCAAUCUACUUCAAGCCUUGGGAGGCUCUUAAGCGGGCAGAACUGUGACUUCUUCAGUCUGAAGGGACAGAAGUGGCUAUUCUCGAGGAUUUAGCAAGCUGGAACCAUGCUGUAAAAUUUGUUGAGGUUUUCAUAGUUGUGAAAACUCAGACCAUGUUUGUCUUGGCUUUUGCUGAACCAAAUUUGUAACGAGGGAUCUCGUUCUAGGAAAUUUGUUUUCUAAGUCUGAACCUUGGAAUUCUGAUUUAAGGUUGGUUUCUCUUGGAAUUCAAGUGAGCUCUUGGCUGUUUUUCCUGCUGUUGUUUUUUUGGUUGAUGAGUUGAGUGUCCUUUUUUCCUUUGCCUACUUUCGUUUUUUAUAAGAGAUCUUCCUGGGGAGGUGAUUUUUAAUCCUAAAUAAUGGGCGGCAAAAAGAUCUCUUAUAACAUAAAGUAAGAAGGAUUUCUUAUCAAUCAAGGCAGAUAGGUUCUGAGCAGUCACCUCCUAAAGCAGUCCCUUCCCUGGUUUCCUGGGUGGCAGUCUUCUAAUUAAAACCACCGCCACUAUCUGUGUAGGCUUUCUAUGGCGGUUUGCCCUUUUCUUUUGUAUUUUCUGAAUGGUUCCCUGUUUCCCGUUCUGAUUUAGAAAGUGUGAUCCGUGAAUCACUUGGGGGGGGUGGUGCAUUGAUUUGGAGCAAGAUCUUGAACAUAGAUGGUUUUUUGAUCUUCAAUUUGGCAGUGUUUCAGAGACGUCCCUUUCAUAUUUUUAAAUUUCAGUUGGUAUUGCUGACUUUUCUAAAGCUGAGGCAAUCACGUGGGUAUGUUUUUGGUCCCUUGGGUCUGAACCUAAUCAAUAAUUCAUGGGCUGAUCUUUUGAAGCCUAUCUUGUCAGUUUCCUCUUUGGGCCUUUCUUUGGGCUGAAGCUUUGUUUUCAACAUUCUUGGUGUGAAGCCCAAUCUGUCUGGAUCUUAUUUUUAUUUUUCUCAAGUCUUUGGGCUGGGCAGGCAAUUUCAUCAUGGGCUUGUCUCUUGGUUUUGGGUGUGCCGAAUUUGGGCCCAAACAGUGGUAUGUCAUGACCGGACAGAAUAGCAAAAUAGUACUAUUCUUGUUUUACACAAAUGUUUCAUGAUUCACGAGAACUAAAACCAUACAUAAUGAUUUCUAGACAAUCCGAGAAAAGGAUUUGGAUAAGCAAUACAAGGACCCUUUAUCUCUGAAAGGGAGUCCAAUGUGUUUAAAAUUAACCCAUAUCACAUCAACUUUUUCUUUAAACAUAGAUGACAUCUUUUUAGAGCAUCUUCAAAGGAAGAUGUCAAAUACCAACCCUUUUUAAAAUAUUUAUAAAUUAAUUAUAAAAUGCACACACACAUAUGUAUAUAUUUAAAAACAAUCCAUCUCCACGUUGGUUAGACUUAUGAUGAAAAUAUUUUUUUUUAAGGAAUUUUGUUCGAGCACAAUUUUUAUUUUAUUUAAGAAACUACAAUUAGAGAGAUAUAUGUAUAAACAAAAAUUGAAUGUGAAUAGAAGGAAAAAAGGCUGAAAAGGACAUUUUAAAAAAAUCACCAUAAUGAAGUGAAGUGACAUGAAGAAAGAAGAAGAAAAGAGAAAAACAACAAAUGAAACCAAACGAAGUGAAGUGACAUGAAGGAAAAAAAAAAAAAAAAAUAGGGAAAAGUAUUAAACAAAAAGAAAAAGCAAAAACAUGAUAUGCCAAGAAGGAAAAUUCAAAUAAUCACAUACCGUAUCAAAAAUCAAAAAAUCAAUUGACAUCUCCAGCAUCUUACGUUAAAUUUGACAGCAGAGGUUUCAGAUGCUUUUUCACAUAAAUGUAGCAUUUCAGUUGUAGUAAAUUUCGGUUAGGUUUUUUACGCGUUAAAUAUGCCACAUAAGAUUUAGCAUCUUUUUUUGAUUUACGGGAAAUGGGGUCCUGAAUUUGUGAUAUCCUUCUUAUUAUCAAAAUGCUCUUAUGCUCUUAAGAGUAUUUGUUCUUACACUCGAAGUCCUAAAUGUCUCUUUUGAAUACGUUACCAAACUGCAUUAUUCGAAGAGUUAUUUUGGCGCUUGAGCAUGACGACAAGUCUGGUCAAUAAGAAACCUCGGCCACAAGUUAUAAUUUGGAAUCAUAGAGAUAAAAACAGGAUGAACCCAUACCCCAAGUUAGAAUUUGGAUUGGGUUUGAUAAGGAAAUAGACAAAAAAAAUCACAUGCAAUUGCCUUACAUGAAUGUUAUAUAUGAGCAAAUAGACAAAAAUCAAACAUUUAUUGGUUGACUCUUAUCAUAGCUGAGCUUGAGCUUGACUACACAUUAAUGUGAAAUGUUUUUAUUUGAUAAUAUCCCUGGCAAGUCUGAGAAUUUAAUGUGAAUGUGGGGGAAAAAAGGAAAUCAGCAAUGUGACAGAAACUCCCGUCACCCAAACUUGCCAUAAAGCUUUUUUGCUUUUCACCUUUCCCAUUAUAGAAUGGGAAAAUUCUGACAGAGAAAAAAAAUACUAUAAUGGGAAACUAGGAUAAACGGCUAUUUUUCCUGUAAAUUAUAUAGAACUGAGGAAUCUAUCAUUCACUCUCAUAUUCCUAACAAUUCGAUCUAAUAUACCGUUACAUAAAGUCAAGUGUUCUUGACUCACUUUUCAGGAUCUCCUCGUUAUUUCACGUCAUAUUUUUUUUAUAAAAAGUGACUCUAAACGUCAAUAAAAAAGCAUGAGACGAGCUUUUAAACUCAAAUAUUUUUUAUGUUUGAACACUCACAAACAUGAAAAUAUCCGAAUUUUUUAUAUCACUAGACGAAAAACUAGUCAAUUAGCUACAUGUAUGAAGUGUAAAUUCUCGUUCUAAGUCUUUGCCAUUAGACCUUAAACUCAAUGAUAUACAGUCCAAUAGAAAAAUUGGCAUCCCAUGCUAACAUGCAUAUACAUUUGCCAAUAUAAAGUGGGUUACUUAGAAAAUCUAGAUUUGAAUUAAAAUAAUAUGGCCCUACACAUUAUUUUACCCUUUGUCAACAUCAUGGAAUUUUACAUAGCGUAAAGCUGACAGAUCUUAAUCUGGCUUAGCAACUUGGGCAUUACAGUAAACUAGUAUUUAAUCACACUUACAGGGGUAUGGGGUAGAUUCCUUUAGAUUCCACAGCAUGUUCCUAGUGGAAGCUUUGCCACACUAGUUAAUAUAAUAAUACUAGUAUUAUUGGAAACGACCCUCUGAUCUGCACCAAUACUAUAUAUACACGUGGUUGUGAUCCCGAUCGUCCAGAUACCUAACUUUUUUUUCUUUUCUUUUUGGGUUCAGAAAAUACCUUAUUAUAGCCUCCUUCUAAAUACUCUUCAUUUCUGCAUAUCAUAGUUCGACAUAUGUAUAAAAAUAAUUCAUCGAAAAUAUAAAAGGAAAAAUUCAUACAUACAUAUACUGACAUUUUACAUAAAUAUAGAAGUUCGUACUUAUAAGGAAAGAAGAAAAGUAUUUUUGUUUGUGAUAUUUGUGUUUCAAUUCAAGAAAGUACCCAAAAAUAAUAUUUGUCAUGUUGAAGAAGCACAUCUUGUGUGUGCCAGAGGACAUCCAGAUUUGCGUGCUCAUUCUUCAAAUCUUCAGAUCACGUGUGAUGUUAUUUUAAGAGACAACAUGUGACCGAAGACAUAAUAAUAUAUUAAGAAAACAUUUUUCAUCAAAUGACAAAGCAAUUGAUUUAGUAUUCUGUCGGUGUGUUUUUGUUUUUGUGACCCACUCCGUUUUGUAGCUCAUGAUCAAAACCAUUUAGUUUGUAAGCAUCAACUCGAUGAUAUCUUCGGAUUUGAACAUUUGAUUUCUUUUAACAAUGUAAAGUAGACGGUUCGAAUUAUUGAAUUAUAAUACGGAGUACAUGCGAGUACAACUAAUUAUCCAUAUCUCUAAGUUGUGUUUAACAAAGGCAUGACGCUCAUGAGAGUGUAUUAGUCAACCCUCCACUACACCUAAAACUUACCAUCCUUCCCUACCAAUUGUAGUAAUUCAAAUUAUAAUAAUUAACCCCCUUAGUGCAUGAGAAAGACUUUCCCGACUAAUAACGUUAUGAUAUGCAUUAUGUUGUAUAGCAUUAUCGACAUAGAAUAAUAUAAUAAUAUUAUCCUCAUUACAAUUAAAUUUUUCUGCUAGUGCACACCGUAUCGAAAUAUCACCUAUAAAUGUGUAGUGUUUUUAUUACUUACUAUAUAAAGCUAUAUUUCGGGCUCCAAAGCACGUGGGGGUCAGAAUUCAGCUCAUCACACUAGACUAGACAUAAUGAAAGUGACUCUUUGUGGCGUGCACCAAAAUCCAAUGGGGUUGUGGCCAUGCCACAAAAGUGAAAUAAAUAAUUAUGCAAUGUAUAGUAUGGUCAUUGGCAUUGGAAAAGAUAGCAUCAAGAUACAUUAUUAACCGUGAAUGUCAAAUGGCAUGAGGAAGGAUUUCUAUAUAAGCAGAGGUAGGACAACUCCGGUAGGCAGGCUUUGUGUCGACUCAGCAAUUUACACUUGUAUUUGCCCGAUCAAUCGUUAUAAAAUACCGACUUAGACAUCGGAGACUCUUUAUUACUAUAUUCUCAAGAGUUCUUCAGCUCGUGUACUUUUUUUAAAUCUCAAGCUGGGUGGUUCGUGAGCAAUCUUUUGUAAACAUUAAUGUAAAUUUGUGGCUAUUAGAGUAGGAAAGGGUCACUGUUUUGGUGCCGUGGCAUUGAAAUGACAUCCGUGACUUUUGGCCCUUUUUUGGCAGUGCAAUCAUCAAAAAUGGUCCUUAUACUUGUUUGGGGACAAUUGCCAUUUUCAUUAUUCUUUUACCAAUAUCUGUAGGAUUUUCUGAAUGGUUUGGGAGUGAUUAGUAUCUAAGCACUUCCUUGAACAUCACACAAAUUCCUCAAAAUUUAACCACACAUAUAUAAGAUAUAAUUCUCUCAGUCUCUCUAACCAAAUGGGAUAAAAUUAGAGCAGGGAGAAGUAAGAGCAGAGUAAAAGAUUUGAAUAUCAGAACAAAGACAUAAGAGGAGGGCCAGGCUACAAAAGAAAAUGGAGUACAGUCUGUUUUACCAAACUACUCCACUAACCCAUUCUACAUUACAGUAUGUAUGCCACCCACUAGACAUACCAUGACUUAUCUCCCCUUUCCUCCAUUCUAGCAACUCAAAACUCUCUCUCUCUCUCUCUCUCUCUCUCUCUCCUUUUCCAAGGAAAAAAUAUCCUUUCCUAUAAAAUAAAAUUUUAAAAUGAAAUAGAAAAAGGAAAACCCACAAAAGAACUGUGCCAAACUAUAUAUAUAUAUACUCUCUCCUACACACUAAAUCAUCACACACUUCUACCCUCAUAGCCAUGGCAACCCUAUCCUUUGUUGCCUUCUCACUAUGCCUCCUCUUUUUCUCCAUAGCCCAAGGCCUUAGCAACAACCCCCAAUGUAGUGAGGCCAAAGACCAGGGCUCUAACCUCCAAGUCUUCCAUGUCUACAGCCCAUGCUCUCCUUUCAGACCCACCAAGCCAAUGUCAUGGGAGGAGAGUGUGCUCCAAAUGCAGGCCAAGGACCAGGCCAGGCUCCAGUUCUUGUCCAGCCUCGUGGCCAGGAAAUCGGUUGUUCCGAUUGCCUCCGGCAGGCAGAUCAUUCAGAGCCCUACGUACAUUGUGAGGGCCAAGAUUGGCACCCCACCUCAGACCUUGCUCAUGGCUGUCGAUACUAGCAAUGAUGCUGCUUGGGUCCCAUGUAACGGCUGCGUUGGCUGCGGUUCCAAUGUCUUUAAUUCUGCCAAAUCCACAACCUACAAGACCCUCGGUUGCCAAACUGCUCAGUGCAAGCAGGUAAAUCAUAUUUUGUUAUUUUCUAAUUACUUUAAAUUAAAGAACCUUCUCUUUAAAGUGUAAGUAGACAAUUUGACAUAUUAUGUUCGACAAUUAAAAUGUAAAUAUGAACCGUUCAUCAAGUGACAAUUUACUUCAAUAUGUGACUUAUAGUAAUAGCUAGACAACGUAACAUCUUAAAUAUGUGUCAAGUUUUCCUUUUUAGGUAUGGUUCAGCUAAGCAUAUCUAGUAUCUAUUUUAAUUAUGCUUCACAAAAACUAGAUCUAUCACAUGGUUUAAUAAUGAAUCAGAUCUCUUAAAGUAGAUCCUCUUUUAUAAAUCUAUUUUAAUGGGUUAAUUAUAUGUCUACUUUAUCAAAAUGGGGCAAACACUAACAUGCAUGUGAACCCUUCAGGUACCCAACCCCACCUGCUUAGGCAGCACCUGCAGCUUCAACACCAGCUACGGCAGCUCCACCCUAGCCGCAAACCUCUCACAAGAAACCUUCACCCUAGCCACCGACGCCGUCCCCGGGUACACCUUUGGUUGCCUCCAGAAGACCACUGGCAGCUCCGUGCCGCCGCAGGGUCUUCUGGGUCUGGGCCGGGGCCCAUUGUCCCUUCUAUCUCAGACCCAAAACCUCUACCAAUCUACAUUCUCAUACUGCCUACCUAGCUUCAAGUCCCUAAACUUUUCUGGGUCAUUGAGGCUUGGACCUGUUGGGCAACCCAUAAGGAUCAAGUACACCCCACUGCUCAAGAACCCUAGAAGAUCAUCACUCUACUAUGUGAACUUAAAUGCAAUUAGGGUUGGUAGGAGAAUUGUGGAUAUCCCUCCUGCUGCCUUGGCUUUCAAUCCCACAACCGGUGCAGGGACCAUCAUUGAUUCAGGUAACACUUUAAAAUUUUGUUCUUAUAAGAAUUUUGGUCAUGAACGCUAUUUUGGGCCAUUGCUGAGAAUGUGGUCUAGUCACGGAGUUGAUAUUUAAAUGUACAUUUUCUGUGAUCAUGUGACUAGCCCACAUGUCUACAGGACCCCUCUUGGACUUGGAUUUGGUUUUAACCCUAGAGACAAAACUUCCCUUGCUCAAAUUAUAAUUGUCCUAUUGUUAUGCCGUGUCUCUCGGUUGGUUUCAUUUUUGUGAAAAUUUGAUUGGCCUAGUUAGUGUAUUUUAAUUUUAUAAGAUAGAUAUGUUUAACUUUUUAAAGUGGCCAUACAUGAUUAGAAACACUUUUAAGUCAAAAAGCUUGUGAUUUAAUCAUGCAUUUGCCACUGAUUAGUUAUAAUAGUAUAGACCCAAAAUUCGAGAUCCCUAUGUGAACAUGAUUUUUUCUUUAUAGUCGAGUGGUAAAGCAUUUAUCUCACUUUUGUAAUACAAACUUUUUAUAACUAAAGUUUCUUUUUUCUCUCUAAUCAGGAACCGUAUUCACCCGGCUAGUGGAACCGGCCUACGUAGCAGUACGAAACGAGUUCCGCAGGCGGGUCGGUAAAUACCCGUUUCAAACCCUAGGCGGGUUCGACACCUGCUACUCCGUGCCCUUUGUUGUACCUACCAUAACGUUCAUGUUCUCAGGCAUGAACGUGACACUGCCUGAAGACAACAUUGUAAUCCACAGCACAGCUGGGAGCAUCACAUGUCUAGCCAUGGCAGCGGCACCAGACAACGUGAACUCUGUGCUCAAUGUGAUUGCCAAUAUGCAGCAGCAGAACCACAGGGUACUCAUUGAUGUGCCCAAUUCAAGGCUUGGGGUGGCCCGUGAGCGCUGCACUUAAAUCCUUUGUUUGGUUCCCAAGUCCCAUGACCAUGUUUGGUAAACUAGGGUUAGCUUAGUACCUGUACUAUUUUGUUGUUUUUACUUUGGAUUGGGGUUGUGGCUUUGUUGGGGUAUUUUGGCCUGUAUGUCAGAGUUUUAAAUUAAUUGCUGACUGACUGUGAAGGUCUUCUCUAAAAGUGAUCUGUAGCAAAAGUCCAGAUUUCAAGUGAUUUGUAGCUUUGUACCGACAUAUAUCACGAGAAAGGGAUCUGUAGCUUUGUGUCCUUUCUCAUUUGUGAUUGAGAUUUGUUAGAUAGGCGGUCGUACAAUGUCACGGGUUAUUUUGCAAAAGGCUUGCAAGAACCCUGUAUCCAAGGGUUUUGAUUUCAAUAAAUUUCAGUAAUAAUUUUUCUGUUGUUUGAGCUUUGAUUAAAUAGUUCAGAUUUGCUUAUAAGGAAACUAUUUUGCUUCACUUUUUUUAUAUAAAAAUCUUACAUGGAAAAGGAGUCCAAUCAUUAACAUAUCUAAUCCGAUUCAGGACUCAUUUCACUACAUAUACUCUCACUUAAGCUGACUACAAAGGACUUAAUUGUUUUUGCAUCACUCUACAUUUUACAUGUUUCAAUUGCUAUAUGCAUAGAUAGGGCAGGUCAAAAAACCCGUAAUUAAGUAAGGCGUUGAUUAACCACUCUUAGAGACAAGUUGGUUCGAGCUAAUGCAUUCCUUAGGUUGGAAAAAGCCCGUAAUUAAGUAUGGCGUUGACUAACCACUCUCAGAGACAAGUUGGUUCGAGCUGACCUAUUCCUUAGGCUGGAAAAAGUCUGUAAUUAAGUAGGGCGUUGACUAACCACUCUCAAAGACAAGUUAGUCCGAGCUGACCCAUUUUACAGGCUUAACAAUGAGUAAUCUCCUUAGCUAGGUAAGUUGAUACAUCAGAUAUUACGCAAAGCUUUAGCCCAUUGGAGUUUCCAAUAGGGUUUCCACCUAGGGAUCUAGGCUAGCGUAGGUCAAUGCUAUAAACUAAUAGAGUGCGUAGGAGAUGAUAUAACACUAUAGAUUUAACGUGGUUGUACCGUUAUAUUAAGUGCCAGUUUGGCAUUACUUAUUUGAGGUGAUAAGUGAUUUUAAAACAAAUUUGGGAAGUCCAGCCCGUUUGGUAAACUAUGAAAAAAUCACUUAUUAUUAAAAAUUGCUGUGAGAGAAAGUUAUAAGGGAAAGCAGCUAAUGAGGUAUUUUCAUUUUCUGAUUAUGUAGGAAUCGAAUUUGAAGAGGCGUUGUGUUUAAUGAUUAUGCGACAAUCAUUUUCUGAUUAUACGAUGAAUCAGUACCAACAACACUUUUAACAAAAAGUUUACCAAACGCCAAACUGCUUUCUCUCACAGUUGAUUUCUCUUUCAGCAAAUCUGACUGCAAUUAUUUUAACAGCACAACAAUGCCAAACUGACCCUAAGUUUGUAAAGAAUGAUUUAAAGGAGAUGGAUGUUGUUUCAAAAAAGAAGACAAUUUGUAAAACAACAGUAUACAUGUUAAUAAUUUGUUUUCUGAAAUUUUAGGCCACAAACUCCAUGGUACAAACAAAGCAUGUUUCUCUCCAGCUCCGGCCCAGAUGCAUUGUGUUGUCUUCUUUGGCCACUUCACUCCUGGAAGGCUGAAACCUCAACUCAACUUCUAACAACGUCAGCCCAUUUCAUUACCCAAUAGAUUAGGGCCCCCGUCGUCCCAUUUCUUAUAUAAGUCGCUGUCCCGCGUUUGGUGAUUUUGGCUCCUUAAAAACACUUCCAAACAUAGAGGUGGUUGAAAUAACAACCUCCAUCCAAAUACAUAUAUAAUAAGGAAAAUUUAUAGGAAAUGAGCUAUUUCUCAUUGAUACCUAUUAGAUUUAUUUGCAAAUAUAUAUAUCAAAUUAGUAUCCAACCUUCAAAAUUUUGCAUAUUACCUUAAUUGAAGGAAAACAUACAAUAAAUCCGCCGAUCUGUUCCAUUUAAACUAGUGUUUUUAAUGUUUUCAUGUCGUGUAGGGUCAGUCCAUUUAAUUUAUCGGGUCGGGUCGUGCCGUGCCAGCCCAUUUAGUAAAAUUAUUGAUUCCGGCCAGGCCCAAAGCUCAUGUCCACAUUGAAACGGCCCGGGCCGGGCCGAGCUCGUGCCCAUGCUCGUGCUCGUGCCAUACUUGGGCCCAAGAACCAACUCAUUUAGUUUGAAUUUUUUUCACUUGAUGUUUUUUUUCCACUAGAUAAUUCAAAUUAUAAACAUUAAAAAUAUAAUUAAAGGCAAGAAAUGAUGAACUAUUUGAAAACAUUAAUCAAUCAAACAUCCAAACAAUAUGAAAUGGCGGAGGGCAAAAAGUAUCCAACUCCACAAAGUCCACUUCAAAUUUUCAUCUUUAAACAAGUUAUUAUUUUAUAUGUGAAGAAAUGUCUUGCUUUGAUUAUAAGAGAAGUGCAUAUGUCAUAUGUACUGAUUAAAUAUUAAGUCCAAUAUUGUUUAAUUAAUUUGAAGUUGAUAUGUUUAAUUAAUAUAUGUUUAUGAUUAUAUAAAUAAUAAAAAAACCAUAUAAACAAUGACAUUAUAUGCCAAAUUAUUACAUUUUGACUUUUGAGAAAGAAAAAAAUGUUAAGUGGGCCAUGCUUGAAGCGGGCUUGGACUCGUGCCAUGCUUGAAGUGGGCUCAGGCCAAGCCCAGCCCAUGUCGGGUCAUGGACCGGCCUAGUCCAUUAGACCUCAUUUUUUGAUCCUGUCCUGACCCAAGUUUUCGUGUCGUGCCGAGCACGGCCCAUUAAUAUUCGUGUUCGUGUCGUGCCGUGCCUCAUUUAAACGGACUGAGCUCGCGAUGUGCUGGGCCGACCCGUCCUAUUUGACACCUCUAAUUGUCAACCAUAUGACAUUUCAAAGAAAAUACAUGCGUAAAUUUUUUUUUCCUUAUUAAAUUAUGAUUACAUACAAAGGCAAAUUAAGAGCCUCAUUUUAAUUUUUGGCCUUGAACUACUCAAAAGACAUGGCCAGCCUGAAGGGAUGUAACGAGAGGAGAGUGGAUAAGAGAAAAGGAGAAAGAAAGAGAGGAGGAGGUAGGGAAAGCGGCAACUAUAACUUUUAGUUUUACUAUCAUAGACUACCACGCGAAAAAGUUUUUAUAUGAAUCAUGAUUGUUACUAUCAUAUAAUCACGUCAAAAUAGUAAGAGCAGUGUGCAAAAGUAGUCCGCCGUGAGAACACUUGUAAAUAGAGUAGUCCGGCGUAACGUACAAGUUACGCGGUGAUCCUCAGUGGUUCCCAACUGCAUACCCGGUCAGGAAUAUUUCAGAGAGUAUCUAUAAAGAGCAAACACUGACGUAACACUCAUAUCACGCACACCACCCCCUUUCGUUUGACCGAAUCCCCUCCAAACAAUAAACAUAUACUCCUCAUCUUAUCCUUGAGAGACAACACAACACAAUAUUUUAUUCCUUCAAGCGCCAGCCUACAUUUCUACCCUCGCAUUUAUGCAGGUUGUUGCCUUGUCAUCAUCACCAUUAAAUAAAAUAAAUUAUUUCUCCUAAACCUACACAUAUUUUCAGGAUUCAUUUAUAGCCAUUCGAUUCCAAUAUGGUUCAUAUCUACCAAACCAAACCAACAGCAAUCUGCUCAAUUGGCCGGCUGUCCCCGGAUCUUUUACGGCUGAGUGCGGAUUGAAACCAGCCAUUCCCAUUCCCGAUUCCGCACUAUCAUUAAAUUUAUAUAUUAGGUCAUCAUCUUUUGAAAAUUUGUAUACAUUUCCCCACUAUGUAAACACUUAAUAUUCCUUCUAUCACAGAGUUCAACAUUUCUUUAGUGGUUAGAUUGUUUGCUGGUAGAGACGUCUAUUAGGAGAGAUACUUUCAUGCAAUGGGAAUAACAUUUUUUGUUAUUUCUAAUCAAUAAUGCAAUGAUAUGUAAGAUAACUUUUUUAUAUGUCAUUACAUUAUUUGCCGAGAAUAAUUAAAAAAAUGUUAUUUUUUAAUUGAAAUAAAUUAAAUUUUAAGUAUUUAGUUGUUUUUAAUUUAAAUUAAAUUCAAGUUCCGUGUUAAACCAAAUUAUUGAUUCUCUCAAAUUUCUAUACAUUGUAUUUUCAAAGAAACAAAAACAAUAAUGUCAUAUUGCAUAAAAACAAAUAGAAUAACUGAUACUUUAACUAAUCGAGGACAUAACUUACACAUAAAUCGAAAAAAUAUUGGUUUGACUCUUCUAUUAGUCUGUAAUUUGUAUGGUAUUUUUUGCUACUUCGGAGUUUUAUCCUAUAUGUUUUUCAAGGAAAGGUUUUAACGAUGCAACUAUUGACAGUCAAUUACUUUAUAUUGAUUUCCUGAUAUUAAUGAAAUCUUUGUGUCUAAAAAAAUCUAUAUAUUCAAUGUAAAAUACUAAAAUUUUGUUUAUAAAUAAAAUAAAUUUUUUUUAAAUAUAUUAAAUAUAUAAAUUUAUGUGUGAUUAAAAUAUACGCGACACAAAAUGAAUGAGAAAGACAAAAAGGAGAAGUCAUGAGGGAAAGCUAGCUAGUAGCUAGCAUUUCUUAAUUUUAUUUCAUUCUGAUUGUACGGACAUAUCUUUGUAAUUUCCUUACUUGUUGAAAAAUAAAAAUUGUUGGAAAUAUUUUAUUGUAUUUGUGGGAGAGAAGUGUAUAAAUACAAGUUUUUAUUUUUUGGUCUCGAAAGUGUAUAAAUACAAGUUGGACAUGCGAUAUGCUAAUUUUUCAGCUGCCACUUCGUUUUCAAACUUAACAAACCCACCGCCACCUUCCCCAUCCAUUUUCUCUAUUAACAUCAAUCAACUCAAAUCUUCUUCUUAUCCCUUCCCUAUUCCAACCCAAAAUUCCCAAAUUCCCAACAAAUCCAGGCGUACAACAAAUGGAAGUGAAGCUCCGAACGUCUCGCUCCUUGGUCUCCAAGCUCAGCUCAGUCUCAUCCCAAACCCGCUCCGAUGCCUUGAAAGAGCUUCGGCUCAUCACCAAGCUCGACCCCGACAGCCGCCCCCUCGUAGCCGAAGCCGGAGCCAUCCCUUACCUCUCCGAAACCCUCUUCGACUCUUCCCCUUCCCUCCAAGACGACGCUGCUGCGACCCUCCUAAACCUCUCCAUCUCCUGCCGCCACUCCCUCAUCUCCACGCGCGGCCUCCUUGACGCGCUUUCCCACGUCCUCCGCCACCACGCAUCCCCCUCCUCCUCCGCCUUCGCCGUCCAGUCCUCCGCCGCCACCCUCCACAGCCUCCUCGUCGUUGACGACUACCGCCCCAUCAUCGGCGCCAAGCGCGACAUCGCCUACUCCCUCAUCGACAUCGUCAAGAGCCUCAACUCGCCUCCGCGGUCGGUAAAGGACGCGCUGAAGGCGCUCUUCGGGAUCUCCCUCUACGCGCUCAACCGCGGCGCGUUGGUGGAGCUCGGGGCGGUUCCCGCGCUUUUCACGCUGGUGGUGAAGGACGGGCGCGUGGGGAUCGUGGAGGACUCGACGGCCGUGAUCGCGCAGGUGGCGGGGUGCGAGGAGAGCGAGGAUGAGUUCCGGAGGGUUUCAGGGGUUAGGGUUCUAGCGGACCUGCUGGAUCCGUCGACGGGGACGAGCCUGAGGAGCAGGGAGAACGCGGUAUCGGCGCUGCUGAAUCUGGCGAGGUGCUGCAGCGAGAGGGCAGUGAGGGAGGUGAGAGAGGAGGGGAUGGGGGUGGUCGAUGGGGUUGCUGACGUGGCGGAGAAUGGUGGGGCCAAGGGGAAGAGCAAGGCGGUGGCGCUGCUGAAGGUGAUUGAUGGCGGGAGUGGAAGCAUUGCUAGCGUUUUCAGAGAUAAACGGUUUGAUUGUUUGCUAAAUCAAUCGUCGUGAAUUGGGUUCUGUUUAGAUUAGAGAUGAUCAUGUAGAUAUCGUUGUUUUACGAGCUUAAUGUUACAUAGGAAAUGAUUGAAUUAACAGUUUCACGCAAUGCUUUUGCAUUCAUUUUUGGUCUCAGAAUUCUUAUUCAUUUUUGCCAAUCCAUUUUUCUUUUCACAACAAAUUUCAAGAUCAUCAAGUUGGAAUGGGCCUCGAGUUUUAUGUGUUGGAAACUUGAAUUUUCAACCAAAUUAUAUCGUAAUUUUGGAAGCAAGCAAACAAGCAAGAUCAUCAAUAAAGAAUUUCUUUUGAUGAUUCUAAUUGUUAUGACCGGCGCUAAUUGAGGAUUCUCAUGCGCAUUAAAAAGAAAUUAACAAGGGGCUUGUAUGGUUGAAGUAUUUAAGAGUAUUUAUCUUAUGUUUGAAGUCCUAGAUUAGAAUUCCCCUCUCCACUUCUGCAUAUUAAAAUGUGAAUAUUCAAUCCAAAACAAAGUGAUAAGUGAGAAAUGCCUAAUAUCUUUUAAGCACUAUUGGAAGGUUUUCAUCUUCUAUGUAGGAUACUCUCAACAUAUUCUGAGUUCUUAGGGGAUUUGAGAUCAAUGUAUAGAUAUUUAUAUCAAUAAGUUAAGGAUUGGUUACAUGUUUAUAAUCUCGGGCGUUGGAUUGCAUUCAUUAGAUGUGUUGGUAGAUUUAUUAUGCAACAGAUUUGCAAUCCAACGACCGAGAUUGAGAUAUUUAAUUAUAUACCCAUUUUUAGCACUAGUGAUAUAGAUAAACCAUACACCAUUUAAUUUUUAUAAACAAACAAAAAAAAAAAAACUCAAAAAAUGACAACUGAUACUAUUGAAUUUGAUUUUCAUUAUUAAAUUACUUUGAUGUCCUAUAGAGUGUUUUGGGUUUUUUUUUUUUUAAAAAAAAAGAAGGAGAUUUUGGGGUUGGACUUGUUUUAAGAAACGAUGGCAAUUUUGUAAUUUAUAAGAAUUUCAAAGUUUCUUUGUUAUGUUGUAAAUGGGCUUUGGGCAUGUUUCUAAAAUUAGGAUUUAUUUAUUUAUUAUUAUUUGGGCCCAUUUAUUGGGUAUAAUAGUGAAUCUCCCUUAAAAAUAGAGAUUUUCUAUUUAAACUUUGCAUUUCUCUUUGUUCACCCCAAUACUUAAAUCAUUAAGCUGUAAGUUUUAUUAUUGUGUAAAAAGACAAAAAAGGUCAUCCAACUUAAUACUUAACCCUACCUAAUGCAUCAUCUAUACACACACCACACACAUCCCACCACUCUUCAUAUUAAGUUUUAGAAUGACCUAUGCAAGAAGCACAAUUUGCCUUACAAGCGUUUGUCCUUCUGGGAUGCCAAUGUAACCACUAUUAGGCUUCUAAGGUCUGCUGCCCAGAAGGCUUGGAUUCCAAUCCCGAAGAACUUGGCCUGGGAAGCUGUUAAUACCCAUGGCUGGGAUUUGUUGACGCUCAUCAAGAUAUUGCCCCCAUAUUACCUUUAUCUGUUUAUAAGUUGGGGAAUCUAGGAUGGAGAUAAAUUUUUCAGCAGGUUUUUCAAUUGCUAUUUGAUUUUUUUUUUGGCACUCCCUUCGACAAUAUUUGAUUUAUAUAUGUUUCUCUGCUUAGACCUCCAUAACAAACUACAAUUUCCCAUAUGAUCUAAUCACAUGAUAAAAACUUGUGAAAACAACAAGAUCUCAUGUAUACUACAAAUAUUGUUUAAUGAUUUAAGUAUUGGGGUAAACAAAGAAAAUUGUGGGGUUUAAAUAGAAAAUUUCUUUUAUUUCUUAUUUUUUUCAGCUUGGGGUGGAUUUAAGGGUAGUUUGGGUAGAUAGUGAGGUUUUCUUAGAAAUUGUGAAAAUUUAAAUUAAAAGUUGGGGUGAACUUAGAACAUAGGGUGAACUAAGAGAAGUGUGAGGUUUAAAUAGAAAAUCUCUAAAAAUAUAUAACCAAUCCUUAAUAUAAAAUACUUAUAUUGGAUAAUAUCCAUAUAGAUAUUAUCUUGAGAUGGGUUUGGUGUUUUUAAGUAACUUGUAGUAUUGUAAUAAGGGGGCCUAUCAUUGAAGACCCAAAAACAUUUAAAGAAAUUCUUCAAGGGAAAGUGGGCUGCACUUCAAAUUAGGGUCAUGCAUGAAGUUGAUGUCACUGAGGAUAGGCUUUUUUUCCCCCUCAUGUUCAUGAUUUAUAUGCAUCGACUUCAGGACAGAGGUUUUCAUUAACAUAAAUUUAUAAGCUGUCAAGGUUGGUGAAACUUAUAGAUUGAAUUAAUAUAUUUGAACUUCAAUUCUGGUCUAAUUAAUUCGUAUUUUCAUGGACUAAAUUAUGUAAAAACGUUUAAAUAUUGCAACUGCAUCAUGUUCAUGACAGAAACAAGCAUUUUAAAAUCAAUUUUAUAUAGCACUUUGGUGAGAAGCGUCUUCUAGCUUCUUAAAUGACCCCAGAGAAGAGUUUAUCUCGUUGACAAAAAAAGCAGUUCACGUGUGAAAUGAAGCCAAAGAAAAGUUUAUGCCCAAAUAAACUAAAAAGACGGAAAAUGGAUGCUAAAAAUCUUAUCAAAUAUAAGAAUAAUUCAAAAUUGUACAAAUACAAUGCACUAAGAGGAAUCUCAGCAUUAGUCCGUCUUCGUCAUCAACACAGUCACUUUGUUGACCAUGAUGAUCGACCUAUUAAUUGUUAUUUUUUGUAAGAAAAAAAGUAAAAGGGGUGGGCGAGCGGUGGGCAAUUUAUUGGAAUAAAAUCUUUUCAGGUUGCUUUCUAGGAGGACCAACAACAUGGUCAAACAUUUAAUUGAUUUUAAAGAAAUUUUUUUUUUUUUUUUUACUAAUGAUCAAACUUUUAAAAAUGUUGCUUUGUUUGUGUAUCAAAUUCGUUUUUUUAAAUGCAAAUGAUUUAUAGCUUAAGAGGUUAAGAGUAUUUACCAUGCAUUUGAAGUCCUAGGUUCAAUAUUCCGUUCUUCCAAUAUCGUUUAUGUUGGCAUGACUUAUGACUUUCCUUGCACACCAAGGAUUUCCAUAUUAAUUGUAAUUGAUUUCCCUUUGAUUUCGGAUUUCCUAUCGUAAAUAGAAUUAUGAGUUAUUACUAUCCUUCACCUUCAAGGUUUUAUUGUAUUGUAAAUAUGACCUCUUAUAAGGAGAAAAAUAUACAAAAAAUUCUCACAAAUAAUAUUCUCUCAUAGUUUCUCAUAUUUUAGCAUGGUAUAAAGCGGCGAUCUUGGGAUUGUUGCAAAACCUUAGCCAAACACACGCCGAUGCUGCCAUGGGGGAUCACGAUGUGAUCAUCCCCAUGGAGGUAGCACUACUGAUUCCUUUACCACCCAUACCAAGAAACUAGAAGAAUUGAAGACCCAGAUGACCUAAUUUUUGAAGAUCCAGAAUUAGACCCCCAACCAAGAACCUUGAAGAAUUUAGACCCAGAUACUAACCAAGACUUAGAUCCCGACCCAGACUCAAAUCCCGACCCCGAUCUUGACUCAGAUCCAGACCCAGAUAUCAACCCAGACUAUACCAUAUGAAUUUUUCGAUGCACAUAUUAUGACUUCUCGCAUAGUGCCCCAGACAAAUGGAAAAGAUUGCACAUACUGUGGCGAUCCUAGACACACUCGUGAGACUUGUUUCAAAUUCAAUGGCUACCCCAAUUGGUGAGAUGAACUUAAAGAUCGAAGACGACAUAAACCUGCAAGGAGUGGUUUUGGUUAUGUAUUCCGUACUUCAAAUACGAGUGAUUCCACGAGAUGGAUCAUUGACUCCGACUCAAUCGAUCAUAUGACAUUUGGUCCUAAUGACCAGAUGAACUAGUAUUGCUAACGCCAAUGGAGUUACUUAUCUUGUGACAUGGGCUGACACGGUUGCUCUCUCAUCCUCUAUAUCAUUUCCUAACACUUUACUUGUUCAAUCUCUAUCCAAUAAGUUGAUGUUAGUUGGUCAGGUUACUGAAUAAUUGAAUUAUUAUGUACUAAUCUAUCAGACUUUUUGUUUGCUUCAGGAUAUUCACACUAAGGAGAUUAUUGGUCGUGGUAUUAAAAGAUGAGGGCUAUAUUAUGUAGAUGCCUUCAGCACAUGCAUGGUUAACAGUGUGACGCAUUCCUCUGAUAGCAAACAAAGGCAAAUCUGGUUGUGGCACCGCGUUUGGGACAUCCAUCCUUUAGUUAUAUGAACCAGAUUUAUUCUCAGGUUUCAAAGACUCCGACUUCAAAUGUGACACUUGUAUUUUGCCAAGAGUCACCGUGUGCCCUAUCCAUUGAGUACGAGCAAGUGUACUACUCCGUUAUAUUAAUUCACUCUAAUGUCUAGAGACCUUAACAUAUCACUACUUCGUUUGGAAUUCUAUGGUUUGUCACGUUCGUAGACGAUUGUACCCGGAUGACAUGAUUUUAUUUCAUGAAGAAUAAAAAAGAAGUGUUUUCACGGUUUCAAUUCUUCCACAAACAGAUGAAAACUCACUUCAAUGCUCAAAUACAGAUUCUUCGCUCUGACAAUAGUGGAUAAUUUGUCAAUCAUGACUUUCAAAUACCACAACAACAUGAAAUUAUCCAUGAGACGACUUGUCCAGAUACCAUAACAAAAUAAUGUUACUGAAUGAAAGAAUCGACAUCUUCUUGAAAUAGCCUGAGCAUUUCUGAUUGGUGCUCAUGUUCCUCUCAAUCACUGGGAUGAUGUUAUUGUCACCGCAGUUCAUCAUGCUUUCCAGUGUCUUGAACUUUAAAACUCCCUUACAAGUUCUUGCACAACUUGGGCCAUUGCCCUAUAUUUUGGUGCUCACACCUGAAUCUUUCAAUGUGUGGCCUUCGUUCAUCUCCACAUAAAUCAUCGCAGCAAAUUUUAUCUUUGUGCGCUUCGUUGUGUUUUUGUAGGAUAUUCCACUCAUCAGAAAGGUUACCGAUGUUAUCACCCAACUACACAGCGUACCUAUGUCACUUUGGAUGUGACCAUUUUGGAAGCUGAGAUGUUCUUCCAUGACCCAACAUCCAAUUCUACGCUUUGGGGGGAUAAGGAGUGAAGAGCACAAUUAGAGCAACCUGGAAGAUGGAGGAAUUCGUUUCUGCCUAGAAAUGAUCGAUCGUUGCCACCCCGAAAAUCGAUCGCUUCGGAGUCCUAAAGAUUAUACUCCUCUCGGCCAGAAAAUGAUUGAUCGUCUAGACCCUGACGAUCUAUCGCUUUCCACCAAUGAAGAUAUUUCAUAUUUGGGUCUCGCUCUUGAAGACGAUCCAGAACCGCCAGCAGUACCUAUUAAUCAAUUUUCUGAAAAUAUCCUUGAAGUAAAUGCUCCUACGACACCUACAAAUUUGGUUGAUAAUUAUAUUGGAUAUAAAUUAUCUUUCAGGGAAAACCGUGGAAAACUACCAAAUCGGUAUUCCUCAGAGAUUGGCAAAAUAUCGAAGCAUCCGAUUGCCAAUCAUUUAUCCACUCAGAGACUACCUGAACCACUCAAGGUUUUUGUGCAUUAGUUGUCUGAUAUCCAUAUCCCAACCAAGAUAACUGAGGCAUUGAAAGAUCUUAAGUGGGUUCAAGCUAUAAAGGAAGAGAUGAAGGCUCUCGAAAAGAAUCAGACAUAGACAAUGGAACCUUUACCACAAGGGAAAAGGACCGUUAGUUGUAGAUGGGUGUUCACUGUAAAUCACAAUGUUGGUGGAUAUAUCGAAUGAUAUAAGGCAAGGCUUGUGACAAAGUAGUACACACAAACCUACGGUAUAGACUAUGAAGAGACCUUUGCUCCAUUAGCAAAGUUAAACACCGUUAGAGUCUUACUGUCUCUUGCACCUAAUUUGAAUUGGUCAUUACAAUAGUUUGAUGUAAAAAAUGCUUUCUUGCAUGGAGAACUCACAAAAGAGGUAUACAUGGACAUUCCAAUACAUUUUAUGUCUUGCCUUAAAAAUGUGGCCUAAGAGCCAAUACAUUUAAUGUAAUCUCCUUAGAAUACAUUUCGUAUAUGAUAAAUAAAAGGCAAGUUUAUUUUGUUAUCAUUUUCUUUGUGUAAAGAAACAAAUGUCCACAAUAUGCUAAAUAAGAGAUAAAGUAAUUUGAAGAAGAUUAGAUUUGGGAGGCCUUUAAUCUCGAACUGUAGUUUCUCAAAUGUUCCUAAUCAUAGGAUUAUCAAAUGAGCAUUGAUAAACCGUUAAGAUUAGCACAUACUAUGUAUGCUCAAUUAGGAGGAUGGUUAGUCUCAAACCAUUUGUGUAGAUGAGACUAAUACAAGUAUGUGGGUGCUCAUUUGUGAAUAAGUACAUUGAACGCGAUCAACCGAAGUUCUCGUAUGGAGUUUUAUCAACAUGUCAAAUGAGAACUCAUAAAUGCAAUAAUGCAAAUUAAUCCUUAGACCUAAGGCAUCAUGGUUGUCUUAUGAUACGUUAUUGAUCUUUGAUAGCUCGCAAAGGCAAGUCGUAAAAGAUUUUCCUUAUAUGUUAUUGGGAUCUCUUAAUUCAUUAUGGGGCCAUGUAAAUGUACAAUAAGGAAUCUCUAUCUCUGAUAAAAAAGAAGAAUGUUUUAAGAUAUGAUUAAGUGAAUCUUCGGUCGAAGUACCUGAGCAUGAUUUAGAAAAUGGUUCGUAAUCAUGUUCUAUUGAAUCACAUGAGGUUAAUCAUAUUAGGGGUUUGACAUAACCAAUCCGUACCCUAAUAAUAUGAUUUGAAACAUUGUAUUAGGGAAUGACCGUAUUGCAUUGCAAUUUCAACAGAAUAGGUUCUUCAACUAUUCUAAUUAGCUUGGGUAACCUAUAUUGCUAGAUAUCACUCUUGGCUCAUGGAAGUCCUAGGAUUAAUUGUGAUCGAUCCAUAUAAAGGAUGAAUUAAAAAGAAGUUUUAAUACCAGUUGAUUAGAAAGAGUUCUAAUAUUUUCCCACUACCUUGCUAAUUAAAACAUAAUAGAUCGCACACCUUAAUGGUUUCUUUGAGAAAUACAUUUGAAAUUGUGGAAAUAAAUUUGAUCGAUUUGAUGCAGAUGAUUUACAACGUGUAAAAGUGUAUUUGGGCUUCGAUAAUAGUUAACGGGAAGCUCAAAUGGUUGGGUAACGAGCCCAAGGGCUUAAGACACCUAAAUACUAUGAUUUAAGUGUCAUAAGGCCCAAAAUUGGAAGCCCAAAGGGUUUGGCCAAAAAUGCAUAAGUAAUUGUGUAUGGAAAUUGUUUCAACAAACUCAUUAACACACAAACACAAUCCAACAUCAACCAAAUAGGUGAGAGAAAAAAGAGAGUUUUCAAGAGUGAAACACUUUCAUAUUUCAAGGGGUUUAGAUUGAAAUCAAGUAAAUCUCUCAUCUCAAGGUUCCAUUGGCACUGGCGAACUGAGGAAUUUUUCAGCGGAGGUGCAAUUUUGAAAGGCUAAAAACUCUUUGUGGAUUGAACAUCUAAGGUUUUUUUUAUACCUAGAUUGACCUUAGGUCCCUUCAUGCAUUCAUAUAAUUACAUUGUAAACUUAAGUAAAUAGAGUAAUAUAAAAAUAAAUGAAAGUAAAAUGAUAAAGACAUUUACUUAAAUGCUGAAAGUGGAAAUAAGGUAAUCUGUACACAUGGAAUGCACCACCACCAGUUGAGCAGCGAGGCAAUUUGAAGUACUUACAAUAGUUUUUUUGGUGAAGGGAGGUACAACUGCACCUUCUUACACCUUAAUAGGUCCGCCAUUGUCCAUUGUGUGGAGACUUAGAGGCCAUAUCCUUUUGUGGCUCACAAGAACGAGAAAAAUAAAAAAGGAGAUCAACAAAAAAAAGUCAUCAAGAGAAUACCCAAAUACAACUUGGUUCAUAUUAUAGCUUCAAAGGUAAUUAGAACUUAUCUUUUUCUCUUGUACUUUCACUUUUAUGGAAACAUAUCAAUGUUCAUGGUUUAAGAUACUAGGAAGAAGUUUUGGUUUUUGAAUUUAAACAACCACCAUAUACUUCCGUUGCAAUUAAUUUGAUUAAAUGCACUUUAAUAUUCAAAUGAACUUCUUAGAAAUGUUUAAAACUAAAAAUUGGUAUCAGAGCCAUAGGUAAUGAACUUGAUAUGUUUCUAGAGUUUAGAGAUGCGUAUAUGGGUUGUAAAUUCAUUUAAAAGUAUAAUGGUUAUACUUGAUUUAUUUUGAUAGGAUUAAAUGAAAAUCAAAUUGAGUGAAAGAGGUUGCUUGGGAUUUUAAAUUUCCGGAUUUAUGUUUUGAUGAUUGAUGCUCUCUUUGUAUGCAUAUGUGUAUGUAUGAACUUAGAGCAUAGUUGCAUCAAAACCCUAUGAUUUUAUGAGAUGGUUAAAAUGGAAUAUGGAUUUUUCCAGAAAUAGCAUGAACAUUCAUAUUAGUUCAUAUGUAUGUUGUUGGUGUCCUUGUGAUGAGAUCUUUUUGAUCCAUAAGUUAGGUAACUAAUUUUGAUGAUUGUGCUAGUGAAUAUUUCUACCAAGAUAGGUCAUAAAGAUGAUGACUGUGGGAGUGAUUUUCGUCCCACAAGAAUAUUCGCUUAAGAUUCCUUCGUCUUCUUCGCUUCUCUUUCUCCCUGCAAAACAAAUCGGAGUAAAGGGACCACUCCAGGGGGGUGUUGGCCAAAGGCCCUCCAAUGCCUAAGUUAGUUCGAUUGAUUCGUAGAGAAACAAUAGCUAAAAUGAGUACAAAGCUCUCGUGGGGAGAACCGGGUGGCCAGAGCCAUGUGUGGUGAUUGGAGCCUUGUGUGAGAGAGAGAAAGAGUAUAGGGGCUAGGGUUGUGAGGGAUAAUUUUUGCAGAGUUUUAGAUAAGAAUUUAGACGUACCUCAACCCUUGUGCAUAGUCAUCUAUUUAUAGGGGUCUCGGAGGCUAGGGUUUCAGAAGAAUAAUUCCGUAGAUGAAAAGAAAUUAUUCUAAUUAGGGAUUAAAGGGAUUUGAUUUAAUCCCUAAUUAAGGUAGGAAUCAAAUCAAUCACAAUUCAAUCAGGUAACUCCCAAUUAAAUUGAGUAACUCCUAAUUAAAUUAAGUAACUCCCAAUUAGGUCAAAUAAUCCCCAAAUGGAAGGAAAUAUUUGACAUAGGGUUUGGCUAGAAUUUGGUUCCCACAAUGAUGGUGAUUUGUCAAAAAUAUAGAAAGUUCGUUGUUUCCGCUCAAUAAACCUUUACCUAUCACAUGAAAUUAAUAAGAUUAUUUUUUAUGAAUGUGCAAAAUCUAGAUGUUGAUAAUGGUGAUAUGAUACAAAACGCAAAAGUUGAUCAAUUUAUUCCUAUCACUUAUUCACCCAUCACACUAAAAUUAAUUAUGAUUACUUUGGUGAGUGUAGUUGGCCUACGUAGUCAUAUUCAUGAUUAUUUACCUAGUUGGAAUAAUCAUGAUCGCCACUUUGUAUUAAAUAAAUGUAUGAUUUAACCCCUCACCCUAGUGGAUUAACAUUGGAUCCAUUAUUAAUUGUUGAAUAAUUUUUAAUUUACUUGCAAUAUAUGAUAAGUGGAACUAUGCCUAAAAGAUUUUCACAAUUGAUUUUGUUAUUGUAGUAAAACGUUUUCACUCCCUGGUAAAUUCAUUAUGAAUAUGGUUACCACUAUAAUUAAACCCAUAUAUGUAUGCACUCCAAGAGCAUGUAUUUACAUUGCCAGUGUAAUUGUUUAAAGGGUUUGUAUAAUUAAAGGAUAGUUAUGGACUUAGACCAAACAAUUGAGCUAUAUGAUUGGCCGCUUAUUGGAUUUGUAUUCGAUUUUGAUUGGUUAUGUAAUAAUGAAAUGACUUUCAUGUCUAAUUUAUUUUUAUGCAUGAGUAAUUAAAAUGAAUCACCAUCCAAGACUAUGAUCCAAUAAGUUGGCUCGUAUUGAUCACCAAGAAAGUCCAUAAUCAUCCUAUAACCCCAAUGCAAUUGGAAUGUUCGGUAAUGAUAAUAAUUAAUCAAUUAGUAGUAUCAUGUACUCCCACUAUCUCAAGUAAAUGAUUUCUAAAACAUUUAGUGGGAGUAUUAUGUGCUACUAAUAUGUUGUACCGGGAACCAUUUAAUAAGAUUAGAUAGGUAAUUUUAAUAGAAUUAAAAUUGGAUUAAAAUGAGACCAAUUUAACUACCAUAAAAGAAAUAUUAAAUAGAUAAGAGAAAUGACACUCUGAAUGCUAUUUUGUGACCUUCCACCGUGGUAGUCUCUUAUUGGGUGGCACAUAUACACUUUGUUGUACCUCACUGAGGCAACAUCCAGUACUUGUAACCAUCCAAGGGAAGCCUAUUAAACAUACUUGAUGUAGUGUCGAUAGAUAACGAGUAUGGCCAACAAAUCGUAAGGAUGAUGACAUACUGGAAACCCUAUGCCCACAAUCAUUGUGUGAAUAACUUAACUAAGACGAACAAAACGAACAAACUGUUAGGUUGAGGUCUAGUUUUAUAAGGCCAUUGUGAUGGGUAUUCACAUUAAUAAUGUGAUUGGAUAAGAGUAUUAUCUAAUUAGUAACAUAUCAAUCAAACAAACUAUUAGGUUGCGAAAAACUAUGUGAAAAUGAGACUUCCGUCCCCACUAAAAGUUUCAACGGAAACUCUUGGAUUUCAAGAAGGAUAAGAAAUUUACCAAAAAUAGUGGGAGCUACCAUUAUGACUUAAUGACCUUAAGUCCUUGAUAGAAGAUUAAUCUAAACUAAACUUUGUUUACGUUGUUGCAUAAUCUUCAAAUGGACUUUGAAAACCCAAUCUCAUCGAUACUUAACAAUUACAUCCUUGAUGGCACGAACUAUCCGGCCUAGCUUCAUAAAGUGAAACUUGUCCUUACAAUGGAUGAAAUUGAUUAUGUGUUAACAGAUGCCCACCACAUAUUCCUCCAAACCCAACAGCUACUCAGAAAUAAAGAACUGCUUAUGAGAUGCAUGUUAAGGAUGAUAGUAGAGGUUAAAGUUACUUACUAGCAUCCAUGAACGAUGAGCUACUUAAACAACAUGAAGAUAUGGAUGAUUGUACUUUCAUAUUGCUUUACCUCAAAAACCUUUAUGAUGAAGUUACUCGUAGCUUGUGUUACAAUAUAAUAUGUGGACUUGUCAAUACAAAGAUGACAAGAGUGACUCAAGUUAAUCAGCAUGGUCUUAAGAUAAUAUCAUUGCUUAAGUUUGGCAAAAAGUUAUCUAUCAUCUUGAGACCAUGUUGAUUAACCGGAGUCCCUCUUGUCAUCUUUGCAUUGACAAGUUCACAUAUUGUAUUGUAAUGCAAGUUACGAGUAACUUCAUCAUAAAUUUUUUUGAGGUGAAACAAUAUGGAAGCACAAUCAUCCAUAUCUUCAUGUUGUUUAAGUAGCUCAUCGUUCAUGGAUGCUAGUAAGUAACAUUUACCUCUACUAUCAUCCUUGACAUGCUUCUCAUAAGGAGUUCUUUGUUUCUGAGUAGAUGUUGGGUCGAGAGGAAUAUGUGAUGGGGCUUGUGUAGCUUCCACUAUUUUUAGCAAAUUUCAUGUCCUUCUUGAAAUCCGAGAGUUUCCUUGAAACUCUUAGUGGGGAUGGGAGUCUAAUUUUCACAUAGUUUUCCACAACUUAACAGUUUGUUGGAUUGCUAUGUUACUAUCAGAGGAUACUCUUAUCCAAUCACACCAUUAAUGUGAAUACUCAUCACUAUGGCCUCUAGAGAACUAGACCUCAACCUAACAGUUUGUUGGUUUCGUUCGUCUUAGUUAAGUUAUUCCCACAAUGCUUGUGGGUAUAGGGUUUCAAGUAUGUUCUCAACCUAACGAUUUGUUGGCCAUACUUGUUAUCUAUCUGCACUACAUCAAGUAUGUUUAACAAGCUUCCUUGGGAUGGUUACAAGUAUUGGAUGUUGCCUCACUGAGGUACAACAAAGUGUAUAUGUGCCACCCAAUAAGAGACUACCACAGUGGAAGGCAACAAAAUAGCAUUCAAAGUGCCAUUUCACUUAACAACUUAAUAUUGCUUUGAGGGUAGUUAAAUUCGUCUCAUUUUAAUCCAAUUUUAAUCCAAUUAAAAUUACUUAUUUAAUCUCAUUAAAUAGUUCCCAAUGGAACAUAUUAGUAGCAUAUAAUACUCCCACUAAAUGUUUUAGAAACUGUUUGCUUAAUAUAGUGAGAAUACAUAAUACUACUAAUUGAUUAAUUAUCACAAUUACCGAACAUUCCAAUUGCAUUGGGAUUAUAGGAUGAUUAUGGACUUUUUUGGUGACCCAAUUGAGCCACUAUGUUGGAUCAUGGUCUUGGAGGGGGAUUCAUUUUAAUUACGCGUGCAUAAAAUAGCUAAUCAAAAUCACAUACAAAUCCAAUAGGCAGCAAAUCACAUAGCUCAAUUGUUUGGUCUAAGUCCAUAAUUACCCUUUAAUCAUAGUGGUAACCAUAUUCAAAAUGAAUUUACCAUGGAGUGAAAACGUUUUUCUACAAUAGCAAAAGCAAUUGUAAAAAUCUUUUUGUGGGCAUAGUUACACUUAUCAUAUAUUGCAAGUGUAGGGGGCUUUUUAUUCCGACAGCUGUAAAUUGGAUGGGCUGUCGUGAAGGGCGGAUUGAUGAAAUUGUCCCCUGUGUCUGAAUUCGAAAAUCAAGCCGCAAAAAUACUUCGAAAGGGCAAUAGAGCUUUAGGAAGCAUCUUAGUUACCUUCACCAACUAAAAUAACAGCAGCUUAUGAUGAUUUCUUAAUGCUUACAGAUAAAUUUUCUAGCUUGGCAUGAGAGGUUUGUGGCAUGGAAGCAAAAUCGACAUGAGUUUAGCACUGAAGAGAAAAUUAUGCUUUCUUGGGAAAAAAAGGAGUGUUAAGGUAAGAAAUGAAAUGUUUGCAAGAAGAUUUGGCUGAGAAGAGAGAAAGAAAGAACAAUUUUCUUUCUGGCAGCUUGACAGAGAUUCUGAAAGUGGUCUGCUAGAAGAGGAAAAUGGAGAAGAAGGGUGAAUAGUGCACGAAAUUGCUGGGUUUUGCAGGCAAGAGAGGAAGCUUGCUCUCUGGAUGUGGGUUCGUUUUGUUGGGUAAAAGAGGCCUCAUUUUAUAGUCGCUGGAAACCAUCCUUUCCCAAGAAACCCUAAUGGUUUCUACCUAAUUUGGCAAAGCUUUUCCCUUCCUUUCUCCUCUCCUCCCUUGAAUUUUCCUAUCUUGGUGAAAUUUCCUCUGCCUAUUUGCACAAAAUCAGGGAUUUUUGGGAGCUCAAGGCCCCUUUCCCGCAGCUGUUUCAGUGGGAGACUUCUCAUUCUCAACUAUUUUUUCUUAUUCUUUCCUUCCUCCUUCCAUGGCUAGAUCUGAUGAAGGAAAACAAAUGGAUGUACAUGCUGGUUCGAAGGGUGCUUCUCCUCCUGGCAGCUUGCGCUUUAUAUCCCUUGGUUCCUUGAAUGUUUUUUGUUUGAAACUUGCUCCCCCAUGUGCUGGAACCUCCCAGCAGCUUUGUUCAAUGAACCUUCAGACCUCCCCUUCAUGGCUUUUGUUUUUCCAGCCAGAUGCUGGGGCCUUUGUAGUUCAUUAUGGUAAUUGUUUGGGCCAAGGUGGUUCAUUAAGUAAGUGGGCUAUUUUUAUUAAAUGUUGGGCUUUUGGUUGAGUCAAUAGGCUAUUCUGAUUGUGCUAUUUUUGAUUGGGCUAUUUUUUUCCUCUUUUGUGCUCACCCACAUGUUGGGCUUAAGAAAUGAGCUUGAGUCCCGAUGCUCCCAAGCAACCCGAGACUUCCAUUUGUCGGCCUAUCAAUGGGCCUCAUGUCGAUUUAUCACUAUCCAUACCACAACCCACUCAAGCAAGCCCCGAGCAUUUGAGUGGCUUGGGCCCACUUAGGCUUGUAGCGUGGCAUGUUGCUCAUUUGUUUGGCGUGGCAUGUGUGUAAGUGCAUAUGACGAACAUUGGCAUGCCCAAAUCGGGUUUCUUAUUGGUAAGGUAUCACAUUGGGCCUGAAAUAUAUUUGGGCAGAACCGUGGAUUCUUUGGAUCUCAAAAGCAAGUACGUUCAAAAUUAUUCAACAAUUAAUAAUGGAUCCAAUGUUAAUACACUAAGCUGUGGGGGUUAAAUCAUGAUUUGUUUAACACAAAUGGUGAUCAUGAUUAGUCCAACUAGGUGAAUAAUCAUGAGUGUGACUAGGUAGGCCAACUACACUUACCAAAGUAAUCAUAAUUAAUUUUACUGUGGGGGGUGAAUAAGUGAUAGGAAUAAUUUGAUCAACUUUUGCAUUUUAUAUCAUAUGACCAUUAUCAACAUCUGGAUAUUCCUUACACAUUCACAAAAAAUAAUCUUAUUAAUUUAGUGUGGUGGGUAAAGGUUUUUUUUGAGUGGAAACACUUUGACCAACUUUCUAGAUUUAUGACAAAACAUCAUCAUCAUCUUUAUAACCUAUCUUGGUGGAAAAAUCCACUAACACAAUCAUUAAAAUUAGUCACCUAACUUAUGGAUCAAAAAGAUCCCAUAACACGAACAUCAAGAACACCAACAAAAAACAUAUGAACUAAUAUGAAUAUUCAUGCUAUUUUCGAAAAAAUCCAUAUUCCAUUUUAACCAUCUCAUGCUAUUAAUCAUAUUUUCAUGAAGUUAAAAUCAUGGGGUUUUGAUGCAACUAUGCUCUAAUGUUCGUACAUACACAUAUGCAUACAAAUGGAGCAUCAAUCAUUAAAACAUAAAUCCAAAAAUUUAAAAUCCCAAGCAACCUAUUUCACUCCAUUUGAUUUUCAUUUAAUCCUAUGAAAAUAAAUCAAGUAUAACCAUUAUACUUUUAAAUGCAUUUCCAACCCAUAUAUGCAUCUCUAAACCCUAAAAAUAUAUCAAGUUCAUGACCUGUGGCUUUGAUACCAAUUUUUUAUUUUAAAAUAUUUUUACGAAGUUCAUUUGAAUAUUAAACGUGCAUUUAAUCAAAUUAAUCACAGCGGAAGUAUAUGGUGGUUGUUUAAAUUCAAAAACCAAAACUUCUUCCAAGUAUCUUAAAUCAUGAACAUUGAUAUGUUUUCAUAAAAGUGAAAGUACAAGAGAAAAUGAUAAGUUCUAAUUACCCUUGAAGCUAUAAUAUGAACCAAACUGUGGUUUGGUCUUCUCUUGAUGACUUUCCUUUGUCGAUCUCCUCUUUGAUCUUUCUCCUUCUUGUGAACCACAAAAGGAUAUGGCCUCUAAGUCUCCACACCAAUGGAACCUUGAGAUGAGAGAGAAGAAUCUUGGGAAUUCAAGGAUGCUAGUGCAAGAUCCUAAAGACUUGGGUUUCAAUCUAAACCCCUUGAAAGAUGAAAGUGUUUCACUCUUAAAAACUCUUUUUUCUCUCUCUCUCUCUCUCUCUCUCUCUCUCUCUUUGAUCUCCUAAACCUAUUUGGUUGAUGUUGGAUUGUGUUUGUGUGUUAAUGAGCUUGUUGAAACAAUUUCCAUACACAAUUACUUAUGCAAUUUCGGCCAAACCCUUUUGGGCUUCCAAUUUUGGGCCUUAUGACACUUAAAUCAUAGUAUUUAGGUGUCUUAAGCCCUUGUGCUUGUUACCUAACCAUUUGGGCUUCCUGUUAACUAUUACUGAGGCCCAAACACACUUUUACACGUAGUAAAUCAUUCGCAUCAAAUUGAUCAAAUUAAUUUCUACAAUUUCAAAUGUAUUUCUCAAAGAUAACUAUUUAUGGUGUGCGAUUCAUUAGGUUCUAAUUAGUAAGGCAGUGGAAAAAUAUUAGAAAUCUUUCUAAUCAUCUGGAAUUAAAACCCCUUUUUAGUUCUUCCUUUAUAUGGAUCGAUCACAAUCAAUCGUGGGACUUCGAUUAGCCAAGAAUGACAUCUAGCAAUAUAUAUCAAGGCCACCCAAGCUAACCAAAAUAGUUGAAGAACCUAUUUAGUUGGAAUUGCAAUACAAUACGGUCCUUCGCUAAUACAAUAUUUUAAAUCAUAUUAUUAGUGUACGGAUUGAUUAUGUUAAACCCCUAAUAUGAUUAACCUCAUGUGAUUCAAUAGAACAUGAUUACGAACCACUUUAUAAAUCAUGCUCAAGAACUUCGGCCGAAGAUUCAUUGAAUCAUAUCUUGAAACAUUCUCCUUCUUUAUCAAAGGUAGAGAUUCCUUAUUGUACAUUCACAUGCCCCCAUAAUGAGAGAUCCCAAUAACACAUAAGGAAAAUUUCUUACGACUUGCCUUUGCGAGCUAUCAAAGAUCAAUAACGCAUCACAAGACAACCAUGAUGCCUCACGUCUAAGGACUAGUUUGCGUUAUUGCAACUAGUAGUCCUCGUUUGACAUGUAGAUAAAACUCCAUAUGAGAACUUCAGUUGAUCGUGUUCAGUGUACUCAUUCACCAAUGAACACCCACAUACUUGUAUUAGUUUCAUCUACACAAAUGGUUUAAGACUAAUCAUCCUCCUAACUGAGCAUACAUAGUAUGUGCUAUUCUUGACGGUUUAUCAAUGCCCAUUUUGAUAAUCCUAUGAUUAGGAAUAUUUGGGACACUAUAGUUAUAGAUUAAAGGUCUCCCGGAUCUAAUCUUUUUUAGAUUAGUUUAUUUUUUAUUUAGCAUACCUUGGACAUUUUUCUUUUACACGGUGCAAAAGAUAACAAGAUAAACUUGCCCUUUAUUUAUCAUAUACGAAAUGUAUUCUAAGGAGAUUACAUCAAAUGUAUUGGCUCUUAGGGAACAUUUCUAACAUAACUCACAAAAGAGGUAUGCAUGGACAUUCCACCCAGAUAUACCACUUCUACUCAGACUGGAACGAUGAGCAAGUUGUGAAAGGCUUUGUACGGAUCUAAACAGUCACCUCGUGAAUGGUUUGGAUGGUUCACCAUGGCAAUGAAGAACAAUGGUUUCUGGCAGAAUAACUCAGAUCAUUCUUUGUUCUUGAAAAGGGAAGGUAACAACUUUAAAAAUCUAUGUUGACAAUAUAAUUAUUACUUGGAAUGAUGAACAUGAAAUAUCUUAGUUAUAAGACUAUUUGGCUACUGAAUUUGAGAUGAAGAAUCUAGGUGGACUCAAAUAUUUCUUGGGGAUUGAGGUGGCUUGAUCAAAGUAAUGCAUAUUUCUCUCUCAAAGGAAAUGUCUUGGACUUGUUGACAGACACUGGAAUGUUAGAUUGCAAAUCUGCAGACAUUUCUAUUAUUCAAAAUCAUCAUCUUGGAGAAUACCUGGAUCAAGUUCCAUCUAACAAAGAAAGAUACUAAAAGCUAGUAGGAAGACUGAACUAUUUGUCACAUACUCGACUAAACAUUGCUUAUGCUAUGAGCGUAGUUAGUCAGUUUAUGCAUUCUCCAAGUGAAGACCCCAUGAAUACAAUUGUUCAAAUACUUAGAUAUUUGAAGUCUGCACUCAGAAAAAGACUUAUGUUCCCAAAACAUGAUCAUAUGAAUAUUGAUGGUUAUAUAGAUGCAGAUUGGGCAGGUAGUGUAACAGAUAGAAGAUCCACAUUUGGUUACUUCACAUUCGUGGGAGGUAAUUUGGUGACAUGGAGGAGCAAGAAACAGAAGGUAGUGGCUUUAACUAGUGCAGAAGCUGAGUUCAGAGGUAUGACUAAAGGAAUUUGUGAGCUCAUUUGGUUAAGGAAGUUGCUUAUUGAACUUGGGUAUGAACCUAUAUCCAUAAUGAAUCUAUUUUGUGACAACAAAGCUGCAAUAGUCAUUGCACAAAAUUCAGUUCAACAUGAUUUCAACAAACAUGUUGAGGUGGAUCAACACUUCAUCUUACAGAAGUUUGAGGCUAAAGUGAUUCAGCUCCUUUUCAUGGAGUUCGAGGAUCAAUUGGCAGAUAUUUUGACAAAAGAGAUUUCCUGUAAAGCAUUCUAUACGUCACUGGAUAAGUUGGGUAUUGUCGACAUCUAUGCACCAACUUGAGAGGGAGUGAUGGUGUGACUUGUGACUUGUGACUUUCCUUGCACACCAAGGAGUCCCAUAUUAAUUGUAUUUGAUUUCAUUUUUAUUUCUGAUUUACUACCAUAAAUAGAAUUAAGAAUUAUUACUUUCCUUGGCCUUCAAGGUUUUAUUGUACUAUAAAUAUGGCCUCUUACAAGGAGAAGAAAACACACAAAAAUUCCAGAAAAAAUAUUCUCUUAUAGUUUCUCAUAUUUUAGCAGUUUAUAUAUCAACUAACCAACCAAAAAAAAAACAUUUAUAUUAAAUUUAAAAUUUAAAAAAAAAAAGAAAAAAAAAGGGGUCAGGCUAGUAGCUACAGGCUAUUGGCAAGGUGUAUUUGAUUCGGCAGGGGCAAAGAUUGUGUUAUUUUUCAUACCUAUAAAAGUCAUGUCGUACUUGAAAAUCCUAGUUUAUCCAGAGUUGCCUGGAACUGGAUUCGACGGAUAGCAAACAAAGCAUCUAAUGCUCUUCAAAUUUGUUCUUGAAAAUUGGGAUUAUAAUAAGUCAUUAGAGGUCUAAGUCCAGGGUUUGCAGGAAGAUUAGCCAAUAUUUCAUCCAACUCAGUGACCUCCAAUUUUGUUGGACUAUUCGAAUUAUUCAAGGAAGGAUGUGAAUUACCCGGAUUAUUUGAAGGAGGAUUUGAACUAGCCGGAUUAUGUGAAGGAUGGUUGGAACUAGCCGGAUUAUUUGAAGGAGAAUUUGAACUACCCAGAUUAUUUGAAGGAGGAUUUAAACUCUUUUUCUUAAAGUACCGUUCCAUAACUGUAUAACUAAAAUAAAAUAAGGGUUUUAUAUCUAUAACUAUGACUAAUUGACUAUAGUUUAUCAAUUAAAUAAACAAAUAAAAAUUAAUUAUACCUCGAAUCGUGUGUCACGCAGCCUCUUCCUCCUCGAAUUUGAUACUGAUCUUACUAAUAGAGAAAGAGCUAAAUAAGAAAAAAAAUUAUUAAUAAAAUGAAUAAACAAAAUUGGCAUUUGCUCAAGAAGAAAAAAAAUAUGCAUCCAACUUACUUUGGAUUGGCGUACUCAAGAAGGAAAAAUAAAUUAAAAAACCGUAGGAUUCUUGUGAUGCAUGUACACUUUGAUAAAAUUGGGUGAUAUUAAAUUUGUCCUUUAUAAAGAGAAUUCUUAAUCCCACUUAAUAAAGAAUUGUGCAAGCCCUAUUAAAGCCCAAUUAAAUAAAAAGAACACCCAAUCCUAUUUAAAUAAGAAAUUGUAGAGGUCCUAUUGAAAUGAAGGAAGCGUACUAUAAUUAUAAGGUUUUAUAGCAUUAUAUUUCAACUAAUAUUACAACAGGUGUUUAAAAGUUACUACAGACCUGUAUGUGGCUCUGCUCCUGUGACGUGGUUGUUGGUGCUACGUCGUAUUCUAUUUGGCUCUGAAUCCACUGUCGCAUUUUAUUAUCUCCACUUCUAGUUUGCUAUAUUUCUUUGCUUUUGUUGUACUUCUAGUUUUUUCACCAAUGUCGCAUUUGGUCUUUCCUGGUUUAGACUAGACUUUUCCCUCUGUUGUAUGCUCUUUGGGGUUCUCCCUGUCUAAUUGAGUUGCACUUUUAGGAAAAAACAAAAACAAAAAGAGUGCAUAAGCAUAUGUUUCUAUGGCACUGUAGUGACAGUGAGUGGCUUGUUGACUGAUAAUUACAAUGCGCUAUUAUUAGCUCAGUGCCCGAGCACAGUGGAAUUGUAGUCAACUUGACACUGAAUUAGUGGGGCACUCGUAUUUGAAACAAAAGCGGUUGUAGUCAUUAAAUCGUUUCAAUUAGGUAUAGAUUAAUCACAGUCCAAUGCAACGCAUUCCCUGUAUGAAUUCGCUGGCAUUGAAGAUGCACCCCAACGCCUUCAUCUUUUGUAGCCCUCUUUCCUUGAGGCUGUUAGGUGGCUGUCAAAACCAAACUACGGAUGUAGCAGACGGUACAAUCUUAGACAAAGUCCACGUUAUAUAGUCAAGAGGUAGUUGUUGGUAGGUAGGGAGUUGAAGCAUCACAUAUAUGUGAUCAAGGCAGAGACGAAAUGCUUAUAAAUAAAAUUUUGGAAGCUCACUGAUGACAACCCUAGGGGUAGAGCUUUGAUUCAUCAAUGCAAAAUUCAGAAGUCUUUGGCCAAUUGGUCAAUUUUAACUGGCAUAUAAGAGGUGUUGUGGAAGCAGCUUAAUUGCAGCUUGAUUUAGCCAACGGUCCAUAAUUUAGUGGUAAGAGUAUUUGCUUACAGAUUAGUUGGCUCAAGUUCGAACCCUCUCCUCCCCUUCAAAACCUUGACCAAAAAAAAAUAAUAAUAAAUGCAGCCUGAUAUAGACGCUGCCUGCUUGAGCAUGUUAAUUUUGACCCUGAAGAUAUAUAAUGCUUUUGAAAAGUCUGCUGGAGGUUGAUGUUAUUUGGCUCCACAACUAAUCAUAAUUUCAUCAUUAAAAACUCUAUGACAAAAAAGAUUUAUCAGAUUUUUAAUUAUUUUAGUAAUUGGGUCUGAAAUACCUUGUGGAAAUGUCUAGAUUGAGGAGGGUCAAAAGAAAAGUCUCAUUCCCACCGUUAGCUUAAAACCUGCAGCUUUAUCUAACAUUACUUUUCCAAAGGCCAAAGCCACAGGCCUAAGAACAAUCCGUAUCUUUCGUUCUCAGGCAGAAAAUUGUUUUCGUUUUUAAAACUAUCAUUGUCACAGUGUGUACUAAACAAAGUCCAUUUAGGUGAUGCUUAAGUGCUUUUCACCAAUCAAAUCCAAUCGCCGAAAGCUUAUCUGCUUUAGGAACUGAAUGUGAAUCGGUACCAUCUGUGGUUUCAAUGUUAAGCUGUCUAUUAAAAUUGGACCAGAAGCCAUACUGUUAGUUGACUGGUUAGGUUCUUUUCAGCUGGAGCCACAAUCUUCUGCUAGAAUGCUUCUCCUUUCAAAGGUGCUUGGUCAAGUUGUUGGCUUUUGUGUCUGCAUUUUCAGGGCACAUGGAGUUUGGCUUUUGCAUUAAGUGGAUGUUUUCAUAAAGAAGUGGUGGAUCCAGUAUAUGAGAAGAAAGGAUUUGGGCUAAUGGGAAGAUUCCACAUAUCAUCAGUUACCUUCAAUUGGGGGAGAAUGAUUCUCAUGGAUGUUUCAGAUUAUUAGAUUAAAUUAUGGGUUUUCAACAAUGAUGUUCACAAAUAGGCCUAAUGAUUUUAGGGUUCAAGACCAUGAGGAAAUUUUUACUUCAAAUUUUUACUAUAGUGACUUAUGUUCUACUUUGAAAAGUGACUUUUUUGUUAGACUCUUUAAAGGCAAAUAUUCUAUUUUCUUUUUCUGCUUUUAUUUUUGCAGCUUUUGGGUUUUUCCUCCUUUUCACUUGUAUUAUGUUGUUCGGGUUAAUGAAUGAAAUCCGGCUACCUCAAUUAUAAAAAGACAUCCAUUUGGUGGUAAAGUUCUAUAGUUUUUAUAUAAUUAAGUUCAAAAGAUAAUGAGCCAAUGUUGCACGGCAUUUCUAACAAGUGGAGAGCAGCUCUCUAGUUUGGUAGUUGUUCCAUAGAAAAUGAGUAAUGCUACACGCACCAGUUCUUUUAAUUUUUCACAUAGAAUAUGCCGUAUAUAGAUCACUUGAUUUUAUAAUCUCAUGAAUCUUAUAUCAUGUAAGAAAGUUGUAAUAAGAGUGGGGAUAAUGUUAUUAUAGAGACAACUUAUUCCAUAUGACUCAACAAAAAACAACCAACAAUCAGUGGCGAAGCCACGAUUUCAUGUGUCUGGGGGCCUCUUACAAAAUAUAAAUAAUAAAAACUUCAACACCAUAAUGAUGGGCUGAGCUUUACGUUUUGGUCCCCCUCCACUGGAAAAAAUAUAAUCCAUUUUAAGAAUUUCAAUAUGAUACUUGCCACAAAAGAAAGAAACUUGAUCAAGUAAAGAAUCCCAACCAUUAUCUCUCAUACUUUGCAAACUAUGUGUUUGGUAGCCUGUUUUGGAAGUGUUAUUACCAACGGUUAUGGAGGCACCAAGUGAGUUCUUCUAGGUGCCUACUUCAUCAUUUUUAAAAUGGGUAGUUCCAAUUCAAUUAAUGGGAGGAGAAUAUUUAUUGACACUUAUAGUGGUAUGCAACCAUUUGACAGGGACAGAAAAACUAAAAAUGAUGCUAAGUAUAUUGGAAUUAUGUGGAUUGCAAAACAGAAAGAUUAUAUAAGACAAAUAUAUGACAAAGGUAACCUAAAGAAAAUCCCAUUAGAUCCGGGCAGGUUAUUCUCCACUUAACUUUUUCUAACACAUUUUCUAUUCUGUUAAUCUCAAAUCCAUCCAAAAAAGAGCUUCCUAAUCGACUUCUAAGAUUGGGGACUAGGGAGACAUACAUGCUUGAAAGUAAUGGGUGAAAUAGUUACACAAGACGUACAUUCUCUAAGUUUGUUCGGUGUGUUUAGGUUAGUCUGAAUUUGAGAAGAUCACUGAAAUCCGGAACCCUUUCGUAAACUCCAAGCUUUGUAAAGACCAAGCUAAAAAGUUCUUAAUCAUUGCUUCGUCAAUUUUGUUCCAUGCUGACCCAACUUUGAUAUCAUAUUAUGAUUAAUUAAUCUAAUCUUUGUCAGCAACAUUGUCUUAAUAAGUCUACUGAAAUCCAAUUACCUUGUCCAAAGUCUACUCGAAUUCAAUCAGACUAUCGGUCCACUCAAUCACCUGAAAGUUCACCACUUUCUCCUCUCCUUUCAUUAUUAUUAUUAUUAUUAAAUCUUUUUUUCUUUCUCCAUAAUGAUGCAGGCUUCUCACUUUCGGUUAUUUUGGUUCUAUUUGUUUCACUUUUCUUCAAAAAGAAACUUAAGAAAGGGGGAGAAAAGUGGUAUCAGAUUGAUCAGUGCCCAAUGGUACCCCAAAGCUAUUUUCUUUUGGUCAUGUUUGGGAUCUCCAUUCAGUCAUUGAAAUGGAGACGUCUACUUGGUAAUUGGUACAUCUUAGCUGUGUCGAUUAUGAUCUGCAAUCAUAAAUUUAACAUAAAAAGUUGGCCAUUUGUAUAUUAUUUUGUUGUUCCCUUCUGUUUAUGAUAAUUUAUUGUCCAAUAUUGUUAAGAGCCGUUGGAUAGAGCGAAAUCAGCUUGUAAAGGAAAAAUGGUCAAGAGCUAAUAUGAGCAAUAAACUAUCAAUAAAUAAAAAAAAGCCUACUCAAAAUGGAUCAUCCAUUGCUAAUAACUAUAACGUACAAAUAGUAUUUGUGAGAUAGCACCGAUCAAAAGCUGGAAUAGCUCAGUUGGUUAGAGCGUGUGGCUGUUAACCACAAGGUCGGAGGUUCAAGCCCUCCUUCUAGCGCAACAAAUGUCAGUUUUUUUAAUCUUUACACGUUCUGAGAUACAAUAAGAUGUUUCCUUCUUUUUCUUUUUUCUUUUUUAAUUUUUAUUUAUUUAUAGAAGAUGUUUGUAAUUAUAAAUAUUUGUAUGAAAUUCGUUCCAGCUUAAAAUCGUAUGAAGAAGACAUCUGCCAAUAUAAAUACCGCUCUUGAAUCAACGGGUGUUAUUUAGAUUGGCUCAGAUUUUUGGUGUGCUUUCAAGUGGUUUUGGGUUCAAAUCAUCAUGGUACUCGUGGGUGUGUGAAUUUUUCCCACUUUCUAAGGCUGACAAUGAGUCGUGUCGUGUCAGUAUCAUAUACGUGUCAAGAACAAUCAACCUAAACACGACCUGUUUAAUAAACGUAUCGUGUCGGAUUGACUAGUUAAUUUUUCGUGCGGGGUUUUGAGUCGGGUAUUAGGUUGAGUCACUAAGUGGUAGCAACUAAAAGAACUAAAAACAAUUAGAAAAAUUAAGAAAAAUUAAGAAUAAACAAAGAAACAGGUUAGCGGGUUGACGGGUUACACGAGUAUUUUAGCGGGUUGGCGAGUUGACUUGUUUAAUAAAAGGGUUACAUAGUUAUUUUAGCGGGUUGGCGAGUCGACUCCAAACUCACAUGUUUAUUAAACGGAUCAUGAAGAGUUGACCCAAAAAUGACUCAAAAAUUUAAUCGUGCGGGUUGACUCGCUAAUUUUCCUUGUGGGUUUUGAGUCGUGUAUCAGACAACAACAAAAAAAGAAUGGUUUAGAUCAUGGAAUAAACUAAAAGAACUAUCUGAUUGUUUUCACCCAUUCCACACCAUCAUCUCAUGAUCCGAACAAUUUAUUUUUAGGUCAUUAUACAAAAUUCACUCAUGCCCAAAAACAAAACCAAAAAAAAAAAAACUAAAUCAGACAACAUUUAGUCAUCUAACUUCAGUCAAAUAAAUAGACGACUCACAAUACUAAUCAUAAAUAGGGAAAAUAUUCACAAUAGUAAUCAAAUAGUUAAACAAUUUACAAUUCGAUUAUUAUUAACUAAAUAUUCACGAUAAUAAUUAAAAGGUUAAAAUUACAUAAACUUCAAUUGUAUUUUGAAAAAAAAAAAAAUUUAAUCCAACCAUCGUGGUCACCCACCAUGAAACUUUGUUCUUUCAACUUGAUUUACCUCUUCAAUAUUUCCUUAUGCAUAGUACUACUAAAGGCACAUUUGCUAUGUGCUUGGUAUUGUACUUUUGAGUAUGAUGAUCAAAAGUAUCUUGAUUCCUUUUUUGAGUACGCGAAAGUAGGCCCAAAGUGUCCCGAAGAAGAAGUAAGUCCUAGGAACCUUGGUUCCUAUAGCUCUUGGGUCUCUUAGGUGGCUUUUGAAAUGCUUGAAAGUGAUUUGGCCGCUGCAAGUGCUUUCCGAUCACUCAAAAUGAUUCACACCGCUCUUCAAAAUGAUCAGGUUGUUCUUGAAAUGCUUACAGCCACUCCUUAAUUGAAAACAACAAUGAUGAUGUUGAAGAACAAUAGAAGAUUGUAAUGUGAGACAUAGCUGGAGAGUGUGUGGCGAGUCAACAUUAUACCAACGGUGGAUGAUUCCCAAAAAUCUUAUCUGAGUGAUGUUGCUGAUGAUGUUACUUAUCCAAUUAUAUUGUAACUAAUAUCGUACAAGUAUAAACUCUGUUGAAGAAUAUGAGUCGCACAUUAAAAACUUGACUAAAUAAAAUACAAAAUAUAAUGAAUGGUUCUACUACUAAUAACACCGAGGCUUUUUGUGAUAAAACCCCACACUUACUGGGCAUUGUAGGUGGUUAAGUUGGUGACAAUAUCAGUGUUGUUAGUAGUGGCCUGCUAGUCCGUCACUUUGAAUUUAACAAAUUCGUCAAUGACAUUAUAACAUGUGAUAAUAUUACAACUACAAACAAAACAUUUCCACUCGAAUUAGUUUGAAGAGGUUUCAAAUUAAAUUUUUUGUAGCAGAAUAAAAAAAGUGCUUUUAAGCAAUCUUUCUUUAAUUAUAAAAUCAACUAACAAAUGAAGUUUCAUGCCUAGAUGUGCCAGUGGCACCACCAACAAUGAGCAGGCGGAAUCAGUAGUUGGUGCCAAUUGGAUGAAGGUGGUUGGUUAUAUUACAAGCCGUUGCUCACUAAAAAGGCCUUACAACUUACUCUCUCAUCUCAAGUGGUGAUGAAUCCACCAAAAGUUCUCAAAAGGGCAUAAAGUAAAGCUAACAAAAAAAGGGAGGACCCAAAAGGGAAGCUAAGUUUGAAUGGCGAUAUAGCAUAUUGGAUGGUGGUGGUGGAGGAGAUGGAGAGAUGGAGAGAUGAAGAGAGAUGGUGAUGGUGGUGAAUUGGUGAUUGGGAUGGAGAGUGGGUGACAGACCCACGUGACUGACCCACCACCACCACUAAUAGGAAGAAAACCUCUCCCUCUCUCUCACCUCUCUCUCUCUCUCUCUCUCUCUCUCUCUAAUAUGAAGAAGGAAUAGGAGGAGGAGGGCCAGUGGAUGUCUUGGUUGGCUUCAUAUCAACGCUAACAGCCAAAAUAACCCAACCACAACAAUAAAACCAAUAUACCCACAAUCACAUAACACCACCACCACCCCAAAAAGUGAAAAAGAAAAGUUAACAGGUUCACAUCAUUAACUCAUUUGACAAAAGUGAUCCCAUUUUCCUUGGUUGCCUUGCCCACUAACAUUAAGCCUUUCCUUUCUCCUUUCUCCUUUCUUCUCCCCCUCAUGCUAUAGUCAGCAGCUAGUGGGUACUCUCUCUCUCUCUCUCUCUCUCUCUCUCUCUCUCUCUUUGAUCUUUUAUUUUCGGUUGGUCAUUUCUACUUACUACCCAUUAUUCUUUUUCUCGCUAAAAUGCUAGUGGUUCUCCUCCCUCUUCACAAUUUCUUGUGCUUAAACUUGUUUGGUGGCUUCAAGAUGUUAGCAGCUUAAGCCCACAAAAGGGUAAAACUUAUUGAAGCAUUAGGGGAGAGAGAGAGAGAGAGAAAGAGAGAGAGAAAGAGAGAUGGACAACGAAACUAACCAAGAAAACCCAUCUCUCCCCCCAAACAAUUACACCUCCACAACCAAGGAAUUAGAGUCUCCAAGAUCAAAACCCCAACAACCUCUUGGUGUUGGUGGCAGCAGUGACAGGCUAAAAAGAGAUGAGUGGAGUGAAGGAGCAGUUUCUAGCCUCCUUGAGGCCUAUGAGACCAAAUGGGUUCUCAGAAACAGAGCAAAACUCAAAGGCCAUGAUUGGGAAGAUGUUGCAAGACAUGUCUCGUCUCGUGCCAAUUGUACCAAGUCCCCCAAGACUCAAACCCAGUGCAAGAACAAGAUUGAGUCCAUGAAGAAACGAUACCGUUCUGAGUCUGCCACUGCUGAUGGUUCAUCAUGGCCUCUCUAUCCACGGCUUGAUCUUCUGCUACGUGGCAGUGGGCCAUCCCCAACAGCAGCAUCAGCAGCAGCAACUGUAACAGCUGCAGCUAUACCACCACCACCACCACCACCACCACUGCCAGUACAAUUGCCUCCUCCGCCGCCUCAGAACAAUCAUCCUUUGAUGCUACUGGAGCCAUCAGUGUCGCUGCCGCCACAGCCACCACCUACUGCUCCUCCUCAACCUAUAGGAACUGCCCAAAAUUCAUAUGGAUCCAAUGGUGUUGAUCAUAGGGUGGCCAAGGUCAGUCUACAUGACCCCCCACCUCUGUUUUGUUUUUUCACACCUAUUUCCUUUUGUUUUUUGAAUUUUCAAUUGAAAUUAACCAGAUAAACACUUCUUGUUACCUGGAGAUUGUUGUCUUUUAGCCCUCACAAUUUUUUCUGGAGAUAAUUGGGUAUUAAAUUGUUUCCCUACCCUAGUCAUAGUAUGUUCUUGGAACCCAAUAUGUCCUACAUGAAUGCCUUGGUGGUCUCACAGAUAAACAUUUUUCAAGCUUAACAUUGUUAUUUCUGAUCAUAUUGUGACAUUGAAUUCAUCAUAGUUCAAUAUGAAUGAAGAUUUCAGAUGCUUUGUCCAAAUGCAGUGAAAUUACUGAAUCAUGUGCAGAAGCCCUUCAUAAAAUCAAAAUUGAACAGACAGAGGAAUUUACUAUCUCUGUUUUGGAAUAUAAGUUAAGAAGGGUUAGUUGGCAUUAAUUUAGACAUUAAUUUCACUUCACCUAACAUAAGGAUGCAUCAUGUUUGGCAUCUGAAUUUCAAUGAAGGUACAAGCUUUGCAGUAAUUGUACAGAAAAAAUUGUAAUACAAACACUUGAGGUUAAAGUUCCAAUUAUUGUAGUGCAAUUGUACACACAUUUGAGGUAAACAAUUGAAGUUACAAUGCACUCUAGAAGGUCCAAGUAAACCAAUUGUACUCCCCAAGAUUUUCUUAGACAACUCUAGUCUAGAGAAAAAAAAUAUUAAUGUGUAUGUGAUUGUUUGUAAAUCUUACUAAGUUAAUUUAACCUGCAGUCAUGUUAACAUGCAGGAAGAUGGAAUGGGGAUGAAAUUGUCAGAUCAUGCAUCAGACAAGAACCCUUUGGAGAUAGACAGUAGCACCCCAGCUCUUUACAGUGACAAGGAAAAAUUAAGGUCCAAGAGAAUGAAGAGGAAGAUAGAGAAAAAGAAGCGGCGAAGACGGGAGGAAGUAGAGAUAGCAGAGAGCAUAAGAUGGUUAGCAGAGGUUGUGGUGAGAUCAGAGCAAGCAAGAAUGGACACAAUGAGAGAGAUAGAGAGGAUGAGAGUUGAGGCAGAGGCUAAGAGAGGAGAAAUGGAUCUCAAGCGCACAGAAAUUAUUGCCAAUACACAGUUGGAGAUUGCAAGGCUCUUUGCAGCUGGUGUUGGCAAAGGGGUUGAUUCUUCUUUAAGAAUUGGAAGAAGUUGAGGAACAAUAAUCGUGAGGUUUGUGAGUAAGUAUGAUAUAUAAUGUAUAGAAUUUAUGUAGUAUGUAACACUGAGAGAAAAGAAAGGAGAACCUUUUGGAAGCAAAGGUGAGGAAGAGUCAACUAAUUAACAUGUAAUAUAUAAUGCGAAUUAAGUAGUUAUUGUAGGUACAAUAACAUAUCUACCUCAUUGUAAUGUACAUGUUCUCUCUUUCAGCAAGCAAUAUCAGUGUUUAGACCUAGAAAAACUUGCCUAUCCCAUGUUUCACGCAAUGAGAGAUAUAGAGAAAAGUGUAUGAAAGAUGUUAAAUGGAAGUUUUACGAGAGGAAGAGGACGGCCUUUGAGUCCACCUAACUUCUAAGUGUUGAGGAAUCUAGAUACUUGCUCCGUGAUGAUUUGGUACUGUAAGUUUUACGAGAGGAAGAUGGGAGUGUAUGUAUGCCAAGUAAGUUUUUUUAAUUUGCAUUUAGUUUUUUUCUAUUAUUUGAUCAUGGUUCCUAGUUAAUCUAUAUCAUCAGUUUGCUCAAGCUUCCCAUGAGAUGCUCUAGCGUCUAAAGAGUUAGGUUUCCAAAAUGGAUAAUGCACCUAAUCGCCUAAAUUUGCAUGAAUUGGUCUAUUGAUCUUCGCUUAUUCUACGUCGGGGGAAAAAUGUGUGGCUUAGUUAUCUAAAUGAAGUUGUAUCUUCAAAUUCAAAUUUCAAUCUUUAAAUCAUGUGGGGAAUGAAUCUCUCCAAUAGUAUGUAAAGACCUUGGUAUACCCUGAAAUUGAGAUAAAAAGGCAAGGUUAGUCCUUAGACACAUCGGUGUGAUGUGAGCCAAAGAGCCUCCGAUAUCAAAGUCGUAAGCUUUAAGCAAAGUAGGGUUUUUCAAAUCAAGGAACGUUUACCUUCUCCAGGAGAUGGUGGUGGUUUAAAUAUGACUCUUUGUUGGGUGGUUUAUCGCCUUGAGAAGAUGCAUGUUCAACGUUGAUUGGGGGUGUUAAGUCUCAUUGAUUGGAACGUCAAUUUGAUUAGCCGUUUGACUUGGGACAUGUGAGAUAUUUACUCAAAGUGGGUGACUGUAGUCCCCUUAGUUCUUGUUGCUGUAAUUGAUAAGGAGAUCUUAGGAUUUGCGCUGAUUUUGCCAGAGGCGUGCUGUCCUUGCAAGGCACUUGUGCCUGUGCUGGGAUGACUUCUUCGUAAGCCUUGCUCGGUCAGAGGCAUUGCUAGGCCUUCUUGUAUCAUGUGGGCUCAAGCGGAGCCCACACUUCUUAUUACCCUGGCAGAGAAUAGGAGGUUUCGUAAGGCUAGGCCGUAGAAAAACCUCCCAGCCACCACCCCCGUUUUGGGGUGGGUGGCUUCCUCCCCUCUUUCCUCUCUUAAUCCUUCCCCUCACUCUAUUCUUUGUUGAUAGUAUUUGUCCCACAUUGAAAAGUUAAGGGAUCUAGUCUAGAUUUAUAAGAAGUUGGACUACUUUCCUAUUGCCAAUUGGUUUUGAGGUAGAACCUCAACUUACUUCACUCUUCCCAUUGCUUUGCUUCCCCUUUGGCUUCUUGUUGAUGUUUUCCCCUUUUGGUUAGUUUGUUGGGUGUGUUUGGUUGUUUUUGUUUGUUUUCUUUUUGCAGAUUUGGAGCUUCUGCACUAGACUUCAGAUCUUUGUGUUCGAGAUAGACAAGGGUUUUGGGUGGCUAGUGGUAGUGCUCUCUAUCUCGGCGGAGGCAGCGACGUCAACGUCAGUAAUAAUGCUUACUGCUCUUGAUUAAUGCAUGAUACAAUGCAUUCCACUUUCUCCUAUCCUAAUUAGAAGAAAUUUAAUUCGUGUGGUCAUCUUGAUGGCCACGUGGUGUCGUGUUAUUGACACGUAAAUUUUUGCUCCCACAAUUAACUCUCACUUCACUUGAACUUGAAUCAACACGUAAACUUCACACUUCAAAGACUAGGUACCCAAGUUUAACCUACAGAAACCCUAACUCCUAAAAUUAUUAUUCUUCUUCUUCCUCAAGUCAACAUCGUUCAAUUUUUAGCCUAAAAGUGGAGCUCCCUAACUCCGGUCUAACUCUACUUUACUUAUGGAAGAAAAAAGGUGCUCUUUACUUGAAACAGAAGAAGAAGAAAAAAAAAAAAAGAGGUGCAUAAACAACUUUUUUAAGUAUAUACAUGGCAUCCCAUUCUGAUAGUAGUACGAAGCAUAGAUGGCAUCAAAAUGUCUCCUAAUCUUUGAGACCAUCUCUGUUAGUGGAACGAAUAUUUUCUGAAAGCAGCAUGUUCUCAUAUUAUUCAUCGAACAAGUUGAUGUAAGGGCAACACAGCAUGAGGUCAAAUUCAUAAGUGGACAGGUUGUAGUUAUGCUCAGUGUGCCAUAACUACAUCAGUGAAAUGAUAAGAUGUAUCUAAGUCAUGAAGUAGGCAAGGAUUCUUUGUUUUAUGUAUUUAUUUAAGUUUUGAACUGAUGUAGGCUAAGGACCAUAAAUAUGAAAGUUGGUAAUGUGUAUUGGAAACAACUCCAAACACGUCAUUUUUGUUCCUAUUUCUUCAAUUCUAUUUAUGUCCCCGUUAUUAUGCCAUACAUCAAUGUCAUAUUCGAUAUCAAAUUCGUUGAAUUUUCUGUUAUCAAAAGCGGUGAUCAACUUUUAAAGGGCAAAUUUGUAUUAACACUUCCACCUACAACUCCCCAUCCCCGCACCUGUCCCUGCCCCAAUCCCCAUUAAGAAAUUUCGGGGAAUCCCUAUCCUCGUCUCCGUCGGGAGGUUGUCUCCCAAACCAGCCCCAAAUCCCCGGUUUUUAUUAUCAAAAAUAUACUACACUCAAUUUUGACCAAAAAAUAAACUCAAUUACAUUCAAUUAAACCCUAAAAUUCAACUUAACUACUUAAAAUCAUCUAAACAAUUUAACAAACUAAUAGAAAUCAUAUAUUCCAUAGCAAAACUAAAAAUUUUGUCUCAAAAUUCUUAUUUUAUUGCUAAAAUUAAGAACAACAAAACACAUUAAAGACAUACGAAAAUAAAAGAUCAAAAAAAUAGGUAGCACUAUAGCACCAACACCGUAGCUUCAUCAGACAAAAUGGAAUGGAAGGAGGUUCUAAUAACGAAGGGAGAACACAUUAAAAAACAAUUUCCAUAUGUUUCUUGGUCAACCAAUACCAUCCUCGGCCCAUCUCCAACCGGGGAUUUUUAAGGAUCCCCAUAACACUGCCGCCACACCCAACCCCCUAGCGAUUUACCCCAAAUCUUCACCCGUUAGGGGCAGGUACCCAAUUUUUGUCAUCCUUACUCACACUCAUAAGCGAAGCCAGAAUUUUAUAUUAUCGGAAGCCUCGACGCAUAAGAAAACAGAUAGGUCGACCUAUCCCGAACAAGCAUAAUGUCCUCUUGAAUUCUUAAUGGCCGGUUGAUGGAACUAGACUAACUACUAGAGAUAUUCGUGUUACUACGUCUGCACUAAUUUGUACACGAAUGCGUGAAUUAUACCGACUACUCAAUAAAUUAUAGACCACUUCAAAUCUUCGUUUUCGAGAAGGAUGAUCAACUCCGCAAAUAUCGAUUGAAACUUGAACCCUUGUAUAGGUAUCAUUUGGUUGCAUACUCGUUCUGUCCUAAUAAAGCUAUUACCCACUAAAGUACCAAGUGGAAGAAGAAUGGUUUGUGCAGUAUUAUAUAUUCAUGUCACCUUGUAAAUUUACACUAUAUAUUCAUGUCAAAAUGUGACUUUGUAAAAUAUUUAUUGCUGGCUAGGAGGGCAUAAGUUUAAGAAUGGUAAUUUUGCACUAUAAUCAUGAAGAAAAGAAGAUCGAGCUAAGUCCGUGCCACUUCUAGCAUGUACUUGGCUCUGUCCUUAUUCUCACAUGAUUAAUUCACGUCAAGAAUGACAUUGAUUUACAGGAAGAUAUAGAUAGAUAUACAUGACAUUAAUGGACUUAGGGGCAAAAAUAAUAUAUUCAAAGUGAUACAGAGACUACUCGCGAUUAAAAAAAAAUCAAUAAAAGAAUGUGCAAAUAGGCUUUUAUGUGGGCUUAAUUCUCAACUUAUAGUCCACAGGAAUCAAACCCAAAAGAAAUUUUAUGCGCUUUGGCGAUGGAUUUUGAAGCUUCAAAAGCCCAGUCACUAUAUCUACAACCAGAUUGCCUUUUUUGUUUAUCUGGGAUUUACGAAAAGAUUACUUUGAUUGCUUUCGCUCUGUAAAAAGAUGGCUCUCUUCCAAACCCAAACAGCUCCUCCUAUCCAUAGCUAUGGCUUUAGCUCGAAAACCCAUAGUCAUUCUCCCAUGGUCUUAUCAUUUCAUUUUCCUCCACCUUCUCGCCUUGUUACUCACUUCUCCGUGAAAACCCAUCAGCAAAAUUCACUAUUUUCUAUCCAGAACACACCGCUUUCACUCUCAACAGUUACAAGGAAGUUGCUUUGCAGACCCCCUCAAGGGAAACAUGUCAGAGAAGACUAUCUUGUGGUAAGUUCUCCCUAGAAAUGCUUAUUUUCUUUAGCAUUGCAAUUACCCAUUACUUGUUGGUUUUUUUUUUCCUUUAAUUCAUAUGUUUUUCCUCCUUGAUAUAGUAAUGAUUUUAUGGGUCAGUUUGUAUAUUCAAAUUAUUUAUCUGAUUGGUGAGAAAAUGUAGGAAACGUGAAAGGAUUACAGUUUAUUGAAUUGAUAUUCUGGGAUUUACCUCUGUAUGGGAAGGGAAAGCAUGGAACUUUUCUUUUGAUUUGGCUUAGUUUGAAAGCCAACUUGGGAUAUAGAGUUUUACUUUAUUAUUUUCCUUUUAUCAGUUAUGGAGGCAUCUGAUAGAAGCAAGCAAGCAUAGUUAUUAGUAGUGAGAUUGAAACAAAACAAUUAUUGGUUUUAGGAAUUCUCUGAUCUUUCUUUAUUUUUAAAUUAUAAAUUUGAGCUUAUUUAUUUCUUUUUUUGGGGAGCGCAGAAGAAGGUGUCGGCCCAGGAGGUUCAGGAACUGGUAAAAGGAGAAAGAAAUGUACCCCUUGUCGUUGAUUUCUUUGCAACAUGGUGUGGACCUUGUAUAUUGAUGGCUCAAGAACUUGAAAUGGUAUGCUUUACACAUAUGCAUACUACUUUUAGCGACGCUACUCUGUAUUCAUAUAUGGCUUUUUUUUUUCUUUUGAAGUUUUGAUGGUUCAUCUGUGCAAUUUGAUAAAAUACUUGUAUUUAGUACUUUGAUAUGGAUUUCAAACUGGUUGUUAGAGAAAUUCUGUUUUACUGCCUUUCUAGACCUUCCUAAUCUUUUGUGUGUGGAAAGAUCUUUUAAGGGGGAAAUUUGAAAAUUUGAACUGCACACAGUAUGCAUGCCCACUAUGUUUUAAACCAUUGUCACUUGUAUGUUUUAGUACUGUAGAAAGAAAACCACUCUCACUUGUAUGUCUUAAUCGUGUCUGUAGAAAGAAAACCACUCUCACUUGUAUGUAUUAGUAUUGACUGUAGAACGAGAACCACUCUCACUUGUAAGUUUUAGUCUUGACUAACAACAACCCAAUAUCACUUCUCGUAGAUUAGGACUUUCAUAUGCUGCCCAAUUGUAGGGGUCCAUUUCUUGUAUGGUGGCUGUUUGAUCAUGAUUGGACGAUUUUGAGUGUUUCUGAAAAGCAAGAAAUAUUAUUAAAGGUACCCCACCUUUUUUUAAAACAUUCAUGGCUGGCUGUAAAAAUGAUGUUGAUUAUAUGAAUGAGAUUUUAGAAGUGUUCCUCUUCAAGUGGGUGGUAAAUGGAGAAAAUCCUGAUCCAACAUGUUUUAAUUGAUGACAACAUCUUCAAGACGAGUGUACCUUAGUUAGCGUUUUAAUCUCAUCUGAAAUGCUGUAAUAUGACUGAAUGAAGUGCGAACCGCAAGUGUAUUUCCUGGAUAGAAGUUUCUAAAAAGCUGAAAGUGAAAUAUAAUACGUGAGAAAUGUGGUGUCUUUAGAUGUGUGAGGUACAUUAUUUGCACAAGCUAUUUCUGAACAUUAGCUAGUAUAUGUCUUUGACAUGUGAUUAACAUUUACUUUUAAGAUGCUUACUGAGUGCUAGUUACAACGGUGAUUAGAUUAAGACUCUUUCCAUGCUGCCAAAUGUGGAUGCCCAUUUCGUGUAAAACAUUAAAUAUAAUAAAAGUUGGCCAAACUUUUUGUAAAACAUUUCUUGCCUGUCCAGUUGUUCAUAUGCAUAUUGUGAUCUGUGAUUCUGCAUGUUUUACUUUAUUACAAAAUCUUCAGAAGGAGAGUACCAUUGUUGUUGGUUACUGGAGGGGAUCUAUGGUCUUAUGGUAGUGAUGCUAGCUUUUUAUUCUAUCAAAUGCUAGAAUAUGAGAUGAAUGAAGUGUGAGAUGCAAGUCUAUGCACCACGAUUGCAUUUGCAAACUUAGCUUUAUAUUUUCUUGUACCAUUCCCAUACUGUAGAACUGCUGCAUAGUGCAUUUGGGGAAAGUGCAUCUUGUAAAGUAGAAAAGGUAUUGAAAUAUGUCGGAUAAUGUUGUGCUUGCAUUAUGAAAUCCUAUUUACUUGGUAAUAGACAUCAACAAAAGUGAAAGAAAUAACAUGGUUCUCUUUUUUCUAAUUAAUGUCUGCCAUUUCAAGGAAAUAAACUGGAGGCAUUAAAUUUAUUCAGCUCAUGUUGUAUGAAUCCUCAAAAGGGUAUUUGAGCAUGACAUUUUCACUUGUUUCACCAAAAGCUUUGAUAAACUUGUGUUCUUAUUGUCCUGGUUCAUAUCUUUAUGUAAGCCAAAAGAUAUAUGAAUAACUAAGUCAAUUGACCCAAUUGUGAACAGUUUGAUAGUAAACCCAAUGUUCCACUUGUUAUAAGAUUAGGAAACCCAGGUAACUCAAAGCCAUAUCCAUGAUGCAGUCUUACAGUAGUUAGCUUAAUUGAAAACUAAGCUAAGGGUUAUUUUAGAACUUUUCAGAGCAAACUUCUGAUCUAUAAACGAUGGGCUAUCAAUCAGAUAGGCAAAAAUCAAAUAUGAGUAUUUAUCCUACUAUCUUUACCAAUCCAAAAUAAAAAUACCCAUGUAUGCAGAUUUCUUUUGAAAGUGAAUGUAAUGGUAAAAGUCUUUAUAUUCCAAGUGUUAGCUAACAUAUAAAUUAUAUUCCGUAUUAGGAUUCUAAUGUUAAUCAAAUUGAAUCUACCCUGUUCAGAAUUUGAUUAAAAAAAACUUGGUUUGUAAGUAUAUGAGUAACGUUGAAAUUUGAAUUUUCGUAACAGCUUGCUGUGGAGUAUGAGAGCAAUGUUAAAAUUAUUAAGGUUGAUACAGAUGAUGAGUACGAGUUUGCACGUGACAUGCAGGUAAUUGCAUUUCUUUUUUACCUUUUAUUUUUAUAGUUUUAUUUUGUCUCUAUUCUCUCAGCUUCUUCCAUUCUCUCAAGCCCUACUUGUUGCACUGAAAUUUCUUUAUGGAAUUUAUGGCAUUUAGUACUCUACGUUUUAUGCCUCUUAAGAAUUUAUGUGUUUUUAGCUAGAUAUUUUUCAUAGAAAAUCACAGAUUUUAUAUUAGUCUCAGUGAUAAAUAUUCUGGAUAAACAUAAACUGGGUGGAUAUAUUGCUUUGACUAAUAUCACUGGUUGAAGAGAUCUAGAUUUAUUGGUAUACAAUGUCACUGUUGGAAAAGUUUUAUGCAACAGAUGAAGCAUUGUAAACUCUUAUUGCUAAUAUCUUGGAGUUUGAAUGGCAAUUAACUAGGGAAAUAAUACCUCCUAAACUCUUUCAAAUCAGGUUCGAGGAUUGCCGACAUUGCUCUUUGUCAGUCCAGAUCCAAGUAAAGAUGCCAUCCGGACUGAAGGGCUCAUCCCAUUACAGAUGAUGCGGGAUAUCAUUGAUAACGAAAUGUGAAGGAGUCCGGGAAAAUGAUUUGGUUAUUGCUCCAUACAAUUGGGGGGCCAUGGUUCUGUUUGGUGAUGGUACAAGCAUUAUCAUUGCUUGUUGAGGUUUGUAAUGUCCUAAUUUACUAAUUGGAAUAUUUCCUUGGAGUCAACAAUUUUGUAGCCAUAUGAUAUCUAAUAGAUGCGGUUUGUAGGUGUGUUUAGAUAUAUGAUGUGUCUGUCGUACAUCCUUGCACGAUUACGAUUCCUUUUACUGUUUAAAUUAUAAGGAUGUUUGGUGAUGCUACAAGCCUUAGGGCAUGGAAAAUAUAUUAACCAGGUCUGAUUGCGGAGCUUCUAUGGCUGACAUUUGGUGUCAUGCUUCCCUACAACAUGCACAAUUAGGGUUGCAUUUGGAAGUGAAUGAAUACAAGGAGGCUUGUGAUCUGGAUGUUAUACUUCGUUUAUAUCUGCACUAGAAACCCCCAAAUUUUCUUUUUCCGUUUUAAAGUAAAAAGAAUAAGAUAAGAGUAAAAGUUGAUGACGCAGUGGAAACAGAAUCGCGUAGAUGCUUGAUAUUAUACUUCUUUUAGAAAGACAAAAGUCCGUAUAUAACUUACUAAAAGCAUAGCUACAAACUCAUGGUAAAGACUUCAAUUAUGCCUCACUUGACUUCUUAAAAGCUUAUGCGAUCUGGAAGGCACUUGGAUUUAACAGAUCAACCAACCACUUGAUUUUUUUUUACUAAUUUCUAUCGAAUUAUGAGUGCCUUGCUGGAUUUCUCACAUUUUAUUUUAUUUAUCAUAGUUUCUCGCUUUUUAUUUAUUUCAUUCUUAGUCAAAAGACCGACUGGUAUAGUGGUUUAGAGCAAUUUGACAUAUCGGAGAGAUCACACAAAUUUACAGUGACUAGUUCUAUACUUUUGUGCCUGUGUCAAAAAUUAAAAUGACAAGUACCAAAGUGAAACAUGAACCGAACCACAUGGACCAAAAAUGUGAUUCGGCAUAUAAUUUGUUUGUACUUCCCAAAAAUGGGAAAGAUAUUUGAGAUGUACAAGAGCCAACCACCUGGAAAAUGUUAACAAAAAAGUUUGCUAGUUUGCAUAUGAGAGAGUUUACAUCUCCAUUGACGGUCCUCCGCUUCUGAUAAAGGGAAAGAGACACAGAAGUUUACAUGUGAACCACCACUACAUUAGAAAGUUAUUUAAAAUGAAGCUAAUAUUAGAUAACGGGGUCUAGUCUAGUGCAAAAUAGCAUUGAUUUGUAAAUUAGUAGUCUCAGUUUCUAACCCCCAUAACACAUUGAUAGUAUAUGGGUGAGAAAACCACCAUCCUGCAGUAUCGCUUGCAUCACCAAAAAAAAAAAAAAAAACUAAUAUUAAAUAUGUAUGCUUAUUUUCACAAAUAGUCCCUGAAGUUCACGAAAUUAUCAUAUUUGAUCAUUUAUGUUUUUUUUUGUGACAUAAUUGGUUAAGGUUACUCUUGGUACAUCAAGUUGGUCCUUGUCGUGAGGUUCUGUCAAAAUUAAGGACCAACUUGAUGUACCAAGAGUAACCUUAAAGACCAACUAUGGCACAAAAAAAACCUAAAAAACCAAUGUGACAAUUUCGUGAACCUCAAGAACCAUUUGUAAAAAUAAGCCAAAUAUAUAUUAAACCCACACAAAAAAUAUCAAAUCCAAAUUUUACAUUCUCAUAUUAUAGCAAAAAAUUACAUUUACAUCUUCCGAAAAUAUAAAGUGGGAUGCAAAAGUAGUUUUACGUCUCCAAAUUUACAUUUUUUUAACACCUAAAGAUCACCUCCAAGUCUUCCAUUCCCUUUUUAUGGUACCAAAAUUUCUUGGUUCGAAGCUUCUAUACAUCCUUUUCCAUUUCUUUCUCACCUCACUUCCCUUUCUCCUAUAUUUUCCCUUCAACCUUUCGUUUUCUUCCCGAGUAUUCUUUGAACUUAGGCGAGAGGUCACAACACAACAUUAAUUGAACAUGAUCACCUAUAUAGCAAAAGUAGAAUAAGCCACAAUUCUUCUUCGUAUUCACACAUCCCUUUCAUUAUCUUUCUUUCCUUUCAGUUCACCUUUUUUUCCAUCCACGGAAAUAAUCAGACUUCUACGCCAACCAAAUGUGUUAAAUGUUAUUUUCGUGAAACUUCUUUCCUUUCUCACUAGGGACAAAAUUUAAAUGACUUGCCACCACCCUACGCGUUUCUUCUUGGUUUACAUUGGAGUUGUAUGGGUUCCAACUAGGGUGCCGUAGGGGGUAGAAAAACUUGUAUUAAAUAGAGAUAGUACUGUUUUGCUAUCCUCAAUAAUUAUAUACUGUCAUAAAAAAAAGUUAUCACAAAUAGUGAGUUUGUAACUCAAAUAGUUAACAUACCGUAAUUAAAUAGAGAAACACUUACCGUAAUUAAUACCCCCGUUUUAUGUAAGUGUUUCUCUAUGGUGGGAACUAUUGGCACUCCCUACGUAUAUUUCAUUUGACUAAAACACGAUGAAUAGUGAGUUUGUAACUCAAAUAGUUAAAAACAGUUGCCCUUACACUUAAGGUACUAUGCAUGAACCUCCUCUCGCUCAAUAUUACUGGUGUCGAAUGCUUAUGUAUAGUUUUAUAAAUUGGCCCUUAGUGAAAAAUCAUAAUAAUAAAUUGAAUCGUAUUUGAGACUCAUGUAAGGUUCAUUUAUUUGAGAUCGAGAAAGAAAAUGUUGGGUUUUAUAACAUCGUCUUCCAACAACUAAGCACUUAUGUUCAUAAAAGCUUUUUUCAAAAGCGCUUUUAUUAAAACCGCGAAAAACACCUUUAUAACCUAGAAAAACUUUUAAAUGUAAGUUUUAUAACCUAAUAAAAAAGUUUUUGAUUGUCAGAAAACCAUUCUGAAAGCAGUACCAAUGUGUGUCUUCAAUGACUAGAAAGAUUAAAUAUCAACUCUCAUUGAUUGCAUUCAAGAAACUACUAAAAAUACUCAAAGCACAGCACUUACAAAUGUAUCCACUACAUUAAAUACAAGCCCAAUUUGGCAAGAAGCACAGCUCAUAGCUAGCGAGAUGGAUCUAAUCUAUUAGCCAAGCAAUAAUCUUUAGACAGAAUAAUGAACGACUCCGUUUCCGGCUGUCUCGGCGGGUGAGAAUGCAAGAAACAUGAGAGCGGCCAUUAUGCCAACGGGAAAGAACAAGAGCAUCAACGGCGGAGGAGGCAGCGGAGGCAGCAACAACGGCAGAACCACCAUGAACAACGCUAGACCCGCCAACACCAGAACAGAACCCAAGCUCAUACACUGCACCAUGACCACCUACGACCUCCGACGAACAUUUCUCUCCCUCCCCAAACGACAAUGCCAGGUCAGCAAACGACAACAGCGAGCACCAGCAAGAAUGGCAACGAAUUUAUGAAAAGGCUUUGACAGUGGAUUAACGGCUUGUAUUGGUUGGUAUAUAUAUAGGGAUGGCGGAUGUGUUGGAGUUGUGAUCUGGUGGGUGAGGGUGUAUGGAGAUGUGAUGUGGCCGGUGAGAUCAGGACCGUUGGCUUGGAGAUUUUAAAAUGGUGUGUGGGGACCAGGGAGUGGAUUUUUGUUCGGUUUUUAUUGGGAGAAAAUCCAGUUUGGGGUGAUGGUCCGAAUCGGCCAGAAUCGGAGCGCCAGAUCCCGAGAUAUUCGGCUGAUACGUUUCAGCAACUUCUACUGUAAAUUUGAUUUAGUUCAUUUUUAAAUCUUGGGUUAGGUGCGGUCUUUAUUUAUUUUUUUCAAAAGUAAAUUAUUCUACAUGUCCUCUUGGUAUUACGAAUAUAUUAAAAUUAUAACUCGUAGAGAAUUAUUAAUAUUAUCAUAAAUCCAACAUGAUACAUCAACAAUUACAUAUGUUAUUUCCCAAAAAAAAAAAAAAAGGGUUAUACAUACUACUUGCCUCCUUACCUGCAAAUGACCGUUUAAUAUAUAUGCAAAAAUAAUUCAUUAAAAACACACAUGUCAUACAGCUAUUGGCAGGAAUGUAGGAACUCUUACUUACUUGGUAAAAAGUGAAGUAUUUUUCAUGUUAUAAUAUAAUUUUAUGUUUAUUUACCUAGAAUGAGCAUUUGAAUUAUUCUGAUUCUUCAGUUUUCUUAUAUUGACUAAUGCGCAUGUAUUUGAAUUUUGCAUAAUAUGCAAAAAAGAAUCAAAAUUUACAUGGCAUUUGCAUUAAAACUAUAUAGUCCUGAUCUUUUGGACCACAGGGGUCUAAGAAAUUUGUGGUCACUCACUGUUGGAUGUAAAUUCAACGGUUCACUCACUCUUGCACUAAUUUUAAUAAACUUUUUUAUACCAUUAGAUUAAUAUCCAACGGUGGGUGACCACAAUCUCUUGGACUCCUGUGGUCCAAGAGAUCGGGACUGUAAAACUAUUAGUCCUGAAAAAUUAAAAAUUAUUUUGAAUAAGGAGAGUAAUUAAUCUCAUAAUUAUUCAUUCUCAUUUAUAUUCCUAAUUUCCCCAAAUUCAUGACAGUUUUAAGUAACAAAAUUGUAACUCAUCAAGUACCAAAUUGUGCAAGACUGCAAAGUGUCCCCCUCAUGACAUUUUUGAAAAUGAAUUUCAAGCCGACUGCACACUAGUUGGUCUAAAUUAUGGGCUUAUGGUAGGUCACAUGUGACUAAAUAAAGUAAUGUCAGUCAGUUAGGGGGCACCUUAAUGCACAUGUCAAAAGUUUACACUCUUUUGAAACUUCAUUCAUGUUUUACCAUGUCUUUGGAUUGGAUGGUAACUAAUUUAACCAUUGGUUUUGACCAUGCCCAAUGGGGUCUAAUCAUAUUAAUUACAAUAUUACAUAGUCGUUAGUCCAAUAUCUUACAAUAAUUUCUCGUCAAUUACACUUUUCACUCAAGUAGUUCGAGGCCUAUUAAAGUUGUUUUUAUAAAACUCUUAAAAUUUCAAAUAAAAGACGUGCAAAAUCUAAUUUAUAAUUUAUAAGUUAACAUCUUUUAAUAAUAGAAUUUUACAUUUGAUGAAUGUUAAGAUUUUAAAAAAACGAAACCGGCUAUUAAUAACGAUACUAAGGCAAUUGAGUUGUAUAGAAAAUGUUUUGAUAUGAUCAGUAGUAAUAUUAUUUAUUAUAUAUUAUAUAUUUUAUUUAGUCAAAUUUUUGAUUCAUCGUUUGAUUUGAUGAGCGUAAACAUUUCCAACCCAGUUACCCAUGCACGAGAAGAUAUGAUGAUAAACCUUGAACAGAAUGACGAUAAAGAAAAAAAAGAUUCAAAGAUGCUUCCCGAAAUCCAAGAAUGCUGUUGUUGCAACGCAUAUCAUUAUAGAGUCAAACAAUGGCCGUGUGGGACUCUGAAAUUCGCAUUUGCCCAUUUUGGCACACACACAGUUAUGUCUCAGUUCAAUGCAUGAACAUCAACCAAACGUCAACAACACUUUUUUCUUCCCAAAAAUUAUUUGAUUAGUUGCAUGAGUAGUUUAUGUCAUAAAAAAGAUUUUUAAGUAAGUAAUUUAUGUUAAGGAUUGGUUAUAUAUUUUUAAUAUCGAUCGUUGAAUUGUAUGUAUAUUGCAUAUUAAAUUUAUCUAUACAAACACAUAUAAUGAAUGCAAUUCAACGACCUAUAUAAGAAAUAUAUAACUAAUUGUUAACUUAAAUACUUAUUGAAAAAUUCCCCGUAACAAAGGCAAACCCAAUAUUGACUGUCAAGUUCGUGUUACAAAAUCACUAAUAUUUUUGCAUGCAUACCAUAUUAAUAUAUAAAUAAAUAAUGUCACUGAUUAUUUUAAUUUCAUUUUACAGCUUGAAUGAACAUAUUGGGAUGAUGGUCCACGAAGUACCCAAGAAACCGUAUAAUAAAAAAUAUUUAUAUAUCUUGUUAUUAUAAAGAACUUUAACAAAUAAAUCAAAUAAAUUUCUACUUUUACGUUUGUUAUUAUAUAAAAAAGAAUAAAAAAAAUUUCACUGUUUUCAUUUUCUGAAGAAAAAUGAGUAGUAGCUCUACAAGAGUAACUUCAUUUUCAGUUCACACUUUCACUUCCUUUCCUCCUAUCAAUGAAUCCACUUUCAUCUCAUAUGUAAUCCUGCUCUGUGUACGUAAGACAUAUGUUCCUUAUAAAAAGAAAAAAAAAAAGAAAAAAAAAAGGAAUAUGGGUGCCGGUUGAUCAACAAGUGCCAAUGAUGCCAGAUUAGUAUAAUUUUGUUCAAACCAAUCAAAACCGGCACCAGUCAAAUGUACACCUACUAUGAGUUUCAUUAUUUCUAAUAAGUAAGAUAUGGAUUGACGUAUAAUUUGAUUGAAAUGAAGAAAGAAGAUGAGUGUGUUGUUAGAUUUCUAUAUAAGUGUCUAUGAUAUUUCACACAACCUGAAAUACAUAGAAGACAUAUCUGACGUCAUUUUCUUUGAGUAUUCGAUCUCUGAACUCAUUCAAUUGCAGCAGCAUUAACACAAACAAAAGACAUGAACGUCUUAAGACUUCUGCUCUCUCUCAGAAACUGUUUCAGCUCUCUUCUUAUGAUGAAAUUAGGUUUAGAGAACAUGUCUAAUGAGAGCAGGAUCUUAAGCUUAUAUAUGGCUAGGUCAAGUAGCCUCUAUUCAUCACCAAGAGUCGACUCGACUAACAAUCUAAAUGGAAAUGUAACAUGUGCGGCAUUAUUGAUAUCACGAAGGAAUGUCCAUUGCAGAAAAGUGCCCAUACACAGAUAUACAAUGCAUGUACGUGAUGUUCUCUUAGCCUGAGCUAGUUGAUAUAAAAUUAUGAAUAUUCAUGGCUUUGAGUCCAAAAUACAGGAGCGUCGGAAGAA
rnacentral:lncRNA from 1 species